AAUAAUUGCUCUGGAUAGCCUUUAAAUUAAAUCAAAAGAGCCUGUGAAAAUUCCGCAUGCCCAGCAGAAAAGAAUUUCUAUACAGGGUGGAAAUGAUUGUACAUUUCACCUGCUGGGCAUAACCCUAUUUCACCAUCUUUUUCGUGGUGGAGACGUGGAGUAGCCAUUGGUGAUUUCCAGUUAUUCUUUCACCAUUGGCUCUUGUUACAAGCGUGCCAAAUUACAGUAAACCGGAAAAUUUAAUUCUGUGCCUAAUUUUCACCUCUUAUUUGUGUAUCGUCUGGUACCCAGUCAUCGCUGGCAAGAACAAGAUGAUCACCAUCUCUGAUGAGCUCAACCUCGUCAACCUCUGCGCCCUCAAUUGUCAGGACCUUAGUGGGCAUCAUGUCAAACUUCUUCGCACCUAGCUGAAGAAGCUCCUUCAUCGACCCCGGCAAGAUCACAAGCUUCCCAGCAGUGUUCCCCUUCUCGGGGCAGCCGAUUGUCACCCUGAUGAGUGGUCUGUGAUGGGCCUGAGGAUAACUCGGACCACCUGUUGCCGCAAGACCUCUUGAGAGCAGAUGAUCAGUCUCUCGGCGCGGAUGAGACGAAGAGAUGACACCAAAAAGAGAGUUGUGGAAGCUGACUUUCCUUCUUUGUGGUAGAACUUUGCUGGGUUGCUGCUCAGCAUCUUCACGGAUCACCUUUUGCAUCGAGGGAUCACUGCUGAACCUGCCUAGCAGCAUUGGUGUCACCCUACCGUUUGAUGUGUAUUUCCUUGGUGCUACCACUGAUCUAAACAGGUUUUGUAUUUCUUCAUGACCUUGUUGCUCAGCUAGAGCUCUUGGGGUCCAGCCGUUACUGUCCUGCUUAUCGAUGUCUGCUCCGUGUCUCAGUAAUAGCUCGACCAUCUCAACGUUCCCGUCGCAGACAGCGCGGUGCAGCGGAAUGUUUCCAUCUUUGGAUGGCCUGUUUACGUCGAUGACAUGCUUGAGUAUUUGCUUGAGCAGUUCUAUAUCAUUUUGCUCGACUGCGGUGCAAGCAUAUAAGCUUGUAUCCCCUGCUGACAGUUCUGCACCGCCCUUGAUUAACAGCUGCACAACCGUAUCAUGUUUUGCAUACACAGCCUCCCAUAGGGGAACCUUUCCUUCCGAAUCUGGAUAUUGGAAGAAUUAAAGGCAUGAUCAGUUAAGGGUAAUCAAACCUUAAAAACUCUUCGGGAUUGGUAUCAACAAUUAAUAAGGCACUCUUGUACUAGUCAAGAAUUAAAAUAUUCUUGAAGUGAUAGAUGCUCAUAAAUUUCAGAAGAAUUAUGCAGAUGGUAGAUUUGCUUCACUAUGAUGAUGAUCUAUAAUUCUAUAUAUACAAGGGACUAUCAUGAUUGGGCAUACCCCUGGCAUUUGGAUCAGCUCCAUAAUCCAAUAGAAGCUUGACACAUUGCUCAUUUCCUUUGGAAGCAGCUAUGUGCUGUUGAUCAUGAAAAUGAACGCUGUCACGUUCCUGCUUAACAAAAUCUGUAGAAUAAAGAAUACAGUUAUGAUGAGGAGCAUACUAACCAGUGCUGUACGCCCAUCUUGAUCUGACUCAUUUGGAUCCAAAUUACGCUUAAGUAGUUGAUGCAACAAAUGGUCAUCUCCUCUAGUCACUGCAAAGCCGAGUGUAAUUGGCAAAUCCAGACGACCUCGAGCUAGCAUGCUCUCGAUCUCCUUCAGAACACCUACCAUUACGCCGUCUUUCUGCUCUUUUAGUAACUGCACCAAAGAUAGGAUCUUAAUAGGACGCAGAACAAUCCUUGAUGUUAUUACAGUUGUUCUUAAGCAAACGGCAUUUGGCAAAGCAUUCUCAUCAUAGUUGGUUAUGGCUGGGAGGAUCAGAGGAAAUUAACCCGAGAUAGACCCCAUCAUGCAAUUUAAGGAUCUUAGGUGAGCUAGCAUUAAUUUGAGGACUGAAGUUUCAAAUUCAUAUAUUGUUGAUGCAGGUUCUAGUAGUGUAGCACACGAUCUUAGCAAGAAAGAUCUAACAGAUUCCGUAAUGUGCGAUUUUGGGGGGAGAAGAUAAUUGUGAAGAGUAAUAUGGAUAGCAAACCUGAAUAAGGUUGUUCAUUAUGAUAGUUCCAUCUCCAACAUUGGAUUGAACAAUGCUGAGAAAGGCCGUACGGUUCAUGCGUAGAAGCUGACAUAACGAUCUUGUCCGGACUGUGAAUAGUUGAGGCCUAUAGCAAAGAACCCCGAUUUCUCCAAUAACAUCUCCUGACUUAGCCACUCCAACCACCUGGAGAUUAAAAAAUAUCAGUAUAUCCUUUUCAGGACCAUUUAAUGCAUAAAUUUACUUAAUGCUAAGCAUCAAAGCAACGCAGGACUUACCUGUUCUGCACCAUGUUCCGCACCAUUUGGAACCUCUACUAACUCCUGAAAAGGCGAAAUGUUUAUUGAUUAUUAAAAUGACACUUACACUUUUUUGGGUUUUAUAUAAAACUAAUAUAUCAGUAUAACUACCUUAUUUGUCUGUACUCUUCUCAUACAUAACUAUAUCAACUAUGGAAAUAUAGAAGGGAAGGAUAAGAAAAACUGUAUUCUUACCACACUACCAGAAACUAAAAUGUAGAAGUCAGUGGGUGCUUCAUUCUGCAAAAUGACGUCCUCCCUAGGUGGAAAAUAUUCGGCUUUCAUCUCCGAAACCUUAAAAGGAACCAUGCAAAAUGUCAACAUAAGCAAGCGUUCAGGUAGUAAUUACCUAAGGGAAAGACUAAAUAUUUACCACGGGCUCACCAGUUGAAAAAUCAGAUCAUUAGAUACUCCUUGAAACAAGUAAAUGUUUUGAACCAGAUUGAGAAACAGAUAUUGCGAAAUGCUAGAUCUAAUAGCCUUAGGCAGCGCAUCAAGAGUCUCUUGUUGUUGAAGACCUUCAGAAUCUGUCCUGAACUUUAAGCUAAGAUGUGAUAUCAUCUGAUCUUGCAACCGAGGUGGUAGCUGAUUCCUAAGUGCAAAGCUGGUUGCUGCUUGAAUUGUAUCCCGCUUUAGUCAAAAGGGGGGGGGGGGGGGGGGUCUCAGAGUUGAGUAUUAAAAUAACUACCCAAUGUUUAUUAUCAAUCAAAGGUUAGUCAAAGUUAAACGAAACUCACAUAUUUUCGAGUACGGCUGGUGCCAUGGACAACCAAGUUGGUCAUGUUGCCAAUCAAAUAGGCAGUCAGUCCAAGGUUAAAGAACAUGUAGAAAAUGUUGAAAAUCAUCUCCCGUAUGUUCUCCGCAUGAUAAUCCCCAUAACCCACAGUGGUAAGCGUGGUGAUUGACCAAUAUACUGAUGUUACGUAGCGAAUCCACAAGCCCUUGGAAUGAAAAUCUGGCAUGGUAUUCCCAAUCCACGUUUCUUGUGGGUUCGGGUACCUAUCAGCAAGGAGAUAGUAGAAGCAUGCUGCACAGUGCACGGCAAAAAGUGUGACCUACAAGAUAAAAUGUAAGGAAAUAGGAUAUCAUCAUUCAUCCAGAAUACUGAAGUUACAGGAGAAUAGUCAAAUGUUGAAAUCACUUACACAAAUGAGCUUUGCACAUCGAACCCAGAAGUAAUUGAAGUGUCUAUCCUUCUCCAAUCUAGUAAAUGAAGAAAUAGAGGUUAAACAUGGUACACAAGCAAUAGGCCAAUCAAUAAGUUUUAACAGGGCACGAUCAGACUUAGACAGGACCUCAGAACAGAAGAAAAAAACUUGAUUUUGUAUAUUCAUGCAUUACCGGAACGUACCUAGCAAAGAGAGAGCUGACUCUCCGGAGACGCCAUAGACGAAGCAUGUUGAAGAAUCCAUAUGAUCUGAGCUUUGAAGGUAGCAUCCUGCGAGCAAUUUCUGAUGGGAUAGUGGAGGCAACGUCAAGAACCAACCAGCUGGUAGCAUAACGCCAAGCAAUCCUCUUUGGAUCAUCUUCCAGCAAAUAGGUCAGUCUGUCCAAGUAAGCUACAAAGAAGGUCAGGAUGAUGUCAAUUGCGAAGAUUGCAUUCACGGCAUUGUCCGUCGCAGCUAGGCCUCCUGUAGGAAUCCGAAUGAAGCCAAAUUCGAAUGGGGAGAUCCACGCAGAGUAGACCACAAGAACUAUGAGGAAAGUCUCCCACAAUCUGCACAAUGGUAAUAACAAGAUGUCAGAAUUGAUUCUUGCAGCUAUUGUAAAAAUGUCUUAUUUCUCUACAGUAGAGACCAAAUUAGCCCGCUUAAAAGUGUAAUUAUGUUUAUUAUUUAUGCCGGGUUUGUUUAGCAUUAUUGCAUACUACUUGACCCAGAAUACCACAUACAAAUGUAUACUACUCCCUUCAUCCCUAAAUAUAAGAUGUUUUAGCAUUUCUCUAUUUUCUCAGAUUCGUAUGCAUCUAGACGCGUUUUAGUGUAUAUAUUCACUCAUUUUAAUUCGUAUGUAGUCCAUAUUGCAAUAUCUAAAACAUGCAAUAUAUUGUUUUGGGAAUUUUACAUUUGUACGUGCAGUUUCCAGUUUCCACCCUGCACAGGCAUGUAACGCGACACGUUUUUGCGUAUAUUAGCAAUAAAAUUAAGAAAAGGGGGGGGGGGGGGGGGGCAUUUAAUCCUCACUAAGACAAGAGCAAUCUGUGGGCAUUUCCUGCUGCUUUGCUUUGCUCUGUUUUGUUUUUGGUUGCUUUGUUUUUCUUUCUGUCUUUGGCUGCUUGGCCUUGUGCAUGCUUCAUGCCUUCUCGUUGUCUCUUCUAAUACAAAACGACACACGUUUAGGCGAGAAAAUUUCUAGUUUUUACCACUAGUUAUUGCAGUCACGCAGAGUAUCAACAGUUGGUCGAUCGUUUUAUUUUUGCUCCUUUUACCUCGCACUCGUUCCUUAUUGACUGUUUAACCCCAUUGAGAAAUUUUUGGCCAACCUGACCUCGGAACACACAUGUAAGACCAAUGUGGCAACUGACAUGGACUUCACAUCCCAAAAUAUUGGGAAAUACUUGUAAGAAGUCUACAAAAUCUAGGGAAAUAAAUCAUAUUUCACUAAUUUUAAUUAACUCCAAAUUUGGUUGAGCCAUUCUGUUUUUUUAUGUACAUUUGUAAUCUAAAUUUAAGGUAUUUUUCCAUUUGUUUGGAAUUUGGAAGUGAGUUUAUACUUGGAACAAGUACCACAUAAUUUGAAGUCACGAGGAGUGAGAUACUACUCCCUCCGUUCCUAAAUAUUUGUCUUUGUAGAGAUUUAAAUAUAGACUACAUACAAAGCAAAAUAAAUGAAUCCAUAUUCUAAAUUAUGUCUAUAUACAUCCGUAUGUUGUUUAUAAUGAAAUCUCUAGAAAGACAAAUAUUUAGGAACGGAGGGAGUAUUUUUCAUGUUUUUGGAGAAUUUCUAUAAUUAUUUUUUAAUACUUGGUGACAUGGCAUCCAUGUAGCCUUCAAGUGAGGGCUGACUAUGAUGACAUGUGGGGUCGUCCUAUCAGGCUGAGGACAAUUUGUUAAAUGGGAUACAUCUGUAUCUGCUGUAUCUGUACCGAUCACUUGGGUGGAAUCAAAAUAAUCUUGGUAAUUCUUCAGUCUGAUCGUACCGUCCACGAAUUAAAUUGGACCAAUGGAAAUUACUCCAUACCUUAUAACUAAUUGUUAAAUUUGUGGCUAAUUAUAAUAGUAUUUUUUUUCUUUAUUCGUCGAGACGUGCCUUGCAUGUUAUGCAAUCACUAGUCCUGGAUUAAGCACAGGUUCAUGUCGAAAAAAAAAUGAAAUCUUGUUAAAUCGGGUAACAAUUAACACUGUGUGAGAACUAAGGAGUUAAAAAUUCAGACUUGGAAGAAAUAAAUAUAGCGAUAAAUAAUAAUUCAAACUUGCGAAACUUGGUAAAUGAUGCAAAAGGCAGUAAACCACCGACCGUAAUUCAAACUUGCAAAACUUGGUAAAUGAUGCAAAAGGCAGUAAACCACCCACCAUAGCAGAAGCCGUAAACAAGUACUACUAAUUAAGUUGGCCCCUUCAAAUAAACCCAAGAAAUGAAUNNNNNNNNNNNNNNNNNNNNNNNNNNNNNNNNNNNNNNNNNNNNNNNNNNNNNNNNNNNNNNNNNNNNNNNNNNNNNNNNNNNNNNNNNNNNNNNNNNNNAAUUGAAGUGCUUGUAAUCACUACUGGUGUGUCCAUUAAAACCGUCCCAUCUGGUUUAGGCAUCUCAACGUCGGUUGUUGGCUCAGUCGCAACAUAUGGAUCAUUAUGUCUAGAAGGUCAACUUCCUUGCCUGUUUUUUCUAUUUGAGGGUUCGGAGUAUAUUGGCUUGGAGCACCAGAAAAUGACGUGGCAGCAUGAUUUGACAAAAUAGCCUUUUCCCUAUAAUGGUUAAAAAUCAUGUAUUGUGUUAAGGAAAUAAUGGUGUAAAAGUAAAUACAUCAGGUCAAGACCAGAAACUUACCCACGAUAGAUGUUAAAAGCUGGGAGUUGUGUUGCUGAUGAGUCGUCCAAAAAUGGAGGAGAUUCGUGAUAAGUGAGUUUGAAGGACUAAGAGGUUGUUUAAAAAGACAGGCCUUCGGACAAGAAUUGGUGGGACUAUGUGGCACCUAAACGUGUGGUAUACGAGCCAGCGGAGCAUGAGACAAGCCAGGAUUUAAGUCGCCUGAACCACUUCGGUCUUUUGUUUUGAUUGACCAGCAAAUUGUGUUUUCUUCAAAAUAAAAUCGGGAGCUAAAUGAGUGUGUGGAUGUGAUAUUUUAACCUUCCAAACGGCUUUUCUUGGCUUUCUUGUAAAAAAUGUUGCUGAUGAACUGGAAGAGAUUGAAAUUAUCUCAAUAUUCCCGGUUUGACUGGAUUCUGAGUCGUUGGGAGAAUAAGGUGUUUCGGCAAAUUCAGUUAGCAAACGACUAAGAGAGUCAGUUUCUACCUUCGUUUGUUCUCCCGAUGAAGAGUCAUGAGUCGGAUUAUCAAGAGCCGGAUCGUUUUUCUGGCCCAAUGAAAAAACAGGGAUGUGAGGUGUGACAUCCAAAUAUUGGAACUUUCCUGCAAAAAUAAAAUAAAGUAUAUGCUGAAGAUAGCGGGUUAAGAUGAAAUUGACAAAAGAAACAUAUUGUACGUGUUGGAAAAAAGUUCAGUGCCGGUGUUGGACGAUUUAGUAGAUAAAAUGGACACAUACCACUAACGCUGCAUUUCUCCUUUGAGUUGGCGAAAAAUCUCCUUUUUCUUUGUUGAGAGCGUCAUCAGUUAACUCCAGACUAGAGAAGCGUUGAACGUUAGAUGAGUCACGUGAGUAAUCACACAUCAAGCGGAUUCUCACACUCACGGGUUGAAUCCGCCACUUCAACAAACAGUGAAUCAGGUCAAUAUCGGUAAGGCCAUGUGCGGUCUGAGCCCUUAAUUUUGUGCGGAGAGGCGCCAUCAGAUCUCUCUCUUCAUCCUUUGGCCAAACCGGAAAUUCCACGUUAUUACCGGGUCGUUCCAACCUAAAACCUUCAAAAGUAUUCUCCUAUUGGGGCAGUGUUCUUGCAGUAGAACCAGGUUUUCUUCCAUCCUUUUGGAUGACUCGCAAACUUUGAUUCAAGGAAGGGAUUAUUUUUUUCUCUUCUGGACAGAAACUCCACCAAGCUCACAAGUGUUAGGUCAUAUUUGUCCCUAAGUGGUUUUGGUGAUUGAUGACAAUGCUUGUGCGGAAUAAUCAUGUGCAUUGUGCAUUUCAGAUAAUUCGUGACUAGGCACAAGACGAUUCGGUGCCCCUCGGAGUCUUUCAAAGAUGGUUGCUUUCUACGUUUCUCUUUGGUGGAUUUGAGUCAUAGGAAAGUCAUACUAUUGAGAGGGGGUCCGCUUCAAAAAGGUUUGGGUGGAAUCAACACGUAUACAUUUCUAUUGCACCACCUUUCCCUUGCUUCAAUGGAGCUCGAGCGUGUUCUUCCCUGUCUGUGCAAAAGGGCCAGCGGUAGUACCGCUGGUGCGAGCGGUAGUACCGCUAUCUGGCCGGUAGUAGUUUUUGACUACCGCUCUCUGGGCGGUAGUAGUAUUUUACUACCGCUCUGUGGGUGGUAGUAGUUUCUUACUACCGCUCUAUGGACGGUAGUACCGCUUCGUCGGACUUUUUGCGCAUCCACAGCCUCAGCGAUGGUAGGCAUGGUAGUAAUUUUUUACUACCGUGGUUGGUGAACCUACCGUGCGGCAGUACCGCUCCUAGCAGCGGUAGUGCCGCUAUGCUCGGGUUGUCAGUGGGGGGUAACGGUUGGAUUCCCCCCCCCCACACACACUAUAUAAAAAGCUCUUCUUCCUCUCAAAGCUUACCUCUUACCUCCCCAAGCUCCAUUUUUGCUCCAAAGCUCAUUUCUGCCCAAUCUCUCUCCCUAGCCAAUCAAACUUGUUGAUUUGCUAGGGAUUGGUUGAGAAGGCCCUAAUCUACACUUCCACCAAGGGAUAUUUGAUUCCCCCACUAAUGUCUUGCGGAUCUUGUUAUUCCUGGGUGUUUGAGCAACCUAGGCGGUUCAGAUCACCUCGGAGCCACAUUCCAUUGUGGUGAAGCUUCAUGGUCUUGUUGGGAGCCUCCAAGCUUUGUGUGGAGAUUGCCCCAACCUUGUUUGUAUAGGUCUGGUACCCGCCUUCAGGAUCACCAAUAGUGGAAUCAUGACAUCUCGCAUUGUGUGAGGGCGUGAGGAGAAUACGGUGGCCUUAGUGGCUUCUUGGGGAGCAUCGUGCUUCCACACCGCUCGAACAGAGACGUACUUCCUAUCAAAGGGAAGGAACUUCGGUAACACAUCCUCGUCUCCACCGGUUCAUCUUGCGGUUAUGUCUUACCUUUACUUUGUACUUAUUGUUUUUGUGGUGUAUUCCUUGCUUGCACUUGUUGUAAUACUUGUUAGCAUCAUUAGGUUUCUCACCUAGUCGUUCAUCUAUAGAACCUUUUGUUGCUAACCCUAAUUUGUUAAGAAGAGCUAAAAAUUGGUAGUUUCCUAUUCAUCCCCCCCUCUAGUCAACCAUAUUGAUCCUUUCAAUUGGUAUGAGAUCCCGUCUCUUCAUUAAGGGUUUCACCACCCGAAGAGUAUGGUUAACGACAGUGUGGUUGGUCUCGAAGUGACCGAGGCUGUGGAGUUGACUUGGAACACACAGGACGACUUGAAUGAGGCUAUGCCCUCACUCAAGACGUCCAUGACGACCGAAGUCAAGUCCAUGCUUAAAGAAUUACCUGAGGGGAUGAANNNNNNNNNNNNNNNNNNNNNNNNNNNNNNNNNNNNNNNNNNNNNNNNNNNNNNNNNNNNNNNNNNNNNNNNNNNNNNNNNNNNNNNNNNNNNNNNNNNNCGAGGUCAAGCCACCACACUGUGUAUUUCCGAUUAAAUAAAUACUUACGUACCUAUAAUAAUUUUUGGUAAAAAUAAAGAGCAUACUACAAUGCAGCUGCAAUUCAAAUUUAACCCGCUUCCAACUGAAUCAAUAUAAAUUUGUCUUUUUCACGAGGGGGGAUAAAAGCUUUUAACACACAACAAUUUUUUUCAAUUUUACAUUAAAUAUGGCCUAGUAUUUUAUAAAAAUGAUUUGGUCCAAUUUUGAAACAAAUAUAUGGUAGGUCCUUCACAAAAAAACUCAUUUUGGACACUUGAAAAAUGGAAAAUGAUUUUUACAUAGAAGGAAAAUGAAAAAUUCCUUAAUAAACAUUGUUUGCCAUUCCAAUACGAACCCUUGUGCAUAAUAUUAGAUCAUUUGAACAAACUAUGCCAUGAAUGUGGCCAUAAGAUUGAUCAUUUGGCUUGAAAACCAAGAAUCUUCACACAUGAUAGCCCAUUUCUGAGAACACUUUUUAAAAAUAAUUGCCGUAUUACAAUUUUAUUAUUUUUCCUGGUAAAUUUGUCACAUAUAAUCACACAAUGAAAAGGUUUUCCAUUUAUUUUGAUUUUUUUGAAUUUUUCAUGGCCAUUUCAAAAUGCGGUCAAAACGGCGGGUAUGACCGUUCCUAGCUAGUGGUUGAAUCUUAGAAACUUUUGAUGUUUCUAUGAUUAAAUAGAUACUUUUGUACCUAUAAAUCAUUUUUUAUAAAAAUAAAAAGUAAACUAUGAGGCAGGUGCAGUUGAAAUUUGACCCGCUUCCAACUAAUUCGACGAAAAUUUGUCUUNNNNNNNNNNNNNNNNNNNNNNNNNNNNNNNNNNNNNNNNNNNNNNNNNNNNNNNNNNNNNNNNNNNNNNNNNNNNNNNNNNNNNNNNNNNNNNNNNNNNACCAAGUAUAUAGGUGCAUUAAUUUAAUAGCAAUUAAUAGGGUGAUAUAACAAGGAACCUAUGUUAUCACAUGGAACCAACUACACCUGCAACUAGCAACGCUAACACGGGGUUAAGCAAGCGGUAACAUAGCCAAUCAGUGGUUUGCUAGGUUGAACAGGUUGAAGGUUUUCAUGGCAUUGUUGAGAGGCUGAUAUUUAACAUGUGGUAGGCAAACACACAUAAUCGAUAGCAUCGAAAUAACUAGCAUGGCAAUGAUAGUAAUGGUAUCUGGUGAAAUGGUCAUCUUCCUGAGAUCCCGCUUGGAAGAAGAACGACUCCGUGAAGCAGACGAACCGAUGUAGUCGAUCGGGUCCUCACUUUCCGACACGCUUGCGGAACUCUAUCGAGAUGGACGAAACCGCAAACAAGCAUCAACACACGAUAUUCACCACACGAUGCACAUCACAUAUGAUGCAUGAGCAGCUGAAUACAUGCAAGUCACGGCAUGUCAAUUCACAACAACCAAAUACUACACAUUAAGUGAAGUUCAAUAUGCAACGAGUUGCAUAUUGAUGAAACUCCACAUACGAGUUAUUUAGUUCUAUCCCAAUUAGGUACACGGCAAUAUUAAAUGUGGUGACACAUGGCAAGAGGUGAAGCGUAAUUAAACUACCUAUCUAGGCAUUUUAAAUGAGGUCAGAAAUGACAUAUAGCACCUCCGAAACGACCUCACAUAUUAAUUUUACAGUUCAGUCCAGAUCUGAACUAACACAUUUAAUUAGUUGUUAAACAGCAAAACAAAUAGGCUCACAUGAUUCUACGUGUCGUUACAAGAAAUUUACACAUAGAGAACAUCUCCAACGGAGCUACGGAUCAAAAGAUACAAGCACCGCAAAAUAUGAUUGCAUGAAUGCAAAAUGUGUGCAACGACAGUCAUGAGCACUUCAAAACAUACAACCAGCAAGAGAAAAUGAAACUACACGAGNNNNNNNNNNUCUACGCGUCUUUACAAGAAAUUUACACAUAGAGAACAUCUCCAACGGAUUUACGGAUCAAAAGAUACAAGCACCACAAGAUAUGAUGGCAUGAAUGCAAAAUGUGUGCAACGACAGUCACGAGCACUUCAAAACAUACAACCAGCAAGAGAAAAUGAAACUACACGAGAUUCUAAGCAAGUUUAAUAUAGGAUACGAUCAAAACGGAGCUACGGUUCAACAACUACGAGCAAAACAAGAAAUCACUACAAUCUGCCAAAAUCAGCCACAUAGCAUUUUCUACGCCCCACAACUACGAGCUACAAAAUCCCAACAUGCUCAACCAAGGCAUGAGACGAUAGAGGGAAAGAAGCACUACAACAUACAACCAACAACACCUAGCAUGGCAUCAAGGAACACUAGGAAAAGAAGUCACAAAAUGGCUUCUCACACACAAUUUCAGACUUAGUGAAAAUAACACUUCAUGAAAGUGCAGUUUCGAUCUGAAGCCAUAUUGACAGCAGCAAAACCAUAAUCUACACGACUCCAAAUGGCACGAAAAUUCACAGCAUGCUAUAGAAUCCCAAAGUCUACAACUAACUCCAUUGGACCAACCUCAAAAGAGCUACAGAUCACAAGAUAGAAGCAAGACAAGACAUCAACAAAAUAUAACAGAUCUCAGACUUACAAAUAUUUCAGCAACUCUAAAACAUCACUAUUUCCUAGCAAGUAAAGAACAACCAAAGCACACCUAAACAUGGAUUUCUAUUGCAACUAAAAAUACCAGGGGCUAGACUAAACAUCAAAGGGCAAAUCUCUAGUUGACAACUCCUUCAAACGAAGCACGGAAUAAAUCCUAUGAAAUAGACAACAGGGCAACAUAGCAAAAUAUUGCGCGAACUAACUUGCUCAAAAGCUAAAACUGUAUACACAGAAAUGUGGGGUUGCACAACAAUAAUAUCGCUGCACGUAAAUGCGAGAUAAUGUCCUAAACACGGAAAAUAAACUAGCGGCAAAUCCCUACACACACAAAAUACCAAUGACUACUCUAAAAUACAUGGCAAAGGGGUUCCUAAAACAUGGACAUUUCUACUAUGGCAUUCGAGCUAUUCGAACACACGCGAAAAAUAAAUGCGGGCACUAUCCUAUUGAGACAGCACGUAAACCUAGGCAUAUGGCACGCUAAACGGCGUCAAACAUUUAUGCAAGUUAUUAAUUCGGAUUCUACGCGCAAAACUACACAAAAACCAUAUACAACUCAUCGCGAUCCGACUUACAGAUUAAAAGAUAUGGCAUAUUAUUAUAAGUCUAUAUUCUGGAAUUUAUUAAUUCCUGAAACUACCUAAAUUAUCUAAUGGGCCGACAGUGGCGUAAUAUAGCGAAAAGGUGCACACGCGGGGGAAUGGCUCACCUUGGGCCCCAAGGAGGCAGUGGGCCGAGGGGGCUNNNNNNNNNNACGAAGGGGCGCUCGAGGAGUGGCCGAGCAGGGGAGGAGGCCACCCCCAGCUGGGCCUUGCCGGGCAGAUCGGCCCAUCGGCCAGGGCGAGCGAGGCAGCCUGGUCGGGCGGUCGCCUCCUCCCGCACGCGCAUAGGGAACCGGCGGCGGGAGCUGACCGCGGCGGCUCGUCUGUCCGGCGAAUGGGGGUGCAGGCGGCGGGGGAAACCGGCAGUAUCCGCCGGAUCCGGCCAUGGGGAAUCUGUUCCCGAUGGCGGCGGAUCGAGGCGGCGCUUGGGGAGUAGAUCGGCGGCGGGGAAUCUGGCGAGUUCCUGGCNNNNNNNNNNNNNNNNNNNNNNNNNNNNNNNNNNNNNNNNNNNNNNNNNNNNNNNNNNNNNNNNNNNNNNNNNNNNNNNNNNNNNNNNNNNNNNNNNNNNCAUAUCUAUGCUUAGCAGACGUGACCACUGAUGAUCAAAUGAAUGAUCCCAAACACCUACCUACAUCAGACAUAACCCCACCGUGUCCUCGAUCGGAGAAGGAACUAACGAAAGAGACAGUCACAGUUACGCACACAGUUGGCAAGUUUUAAUUAAGUUAACUUCAAGUUAUCUAGAACCAGUGUUAAACAAAGUUUCCAUGUUGCCACAUAACCGCGGGCACGGCUUUCCGAAAAGAGUUCACCCUGCAGGGGUGCUCCAAAUAAUCCAUCACAAAUUACCACAAGCCGCAUAGAAAUCCUCGAUCACGAAGCUCACAAUCUCGUCGGACUCCUUAGUGGAAAACCUCAACUCUGAGAUUACCCAAAGCAUCACCGGAAUCCNNNNNNNNNNCCGUGGGCACGGUUUUCCGAAAAUAUUUAACCCCGCAAGGGUGCUCCAACUAAUCCAUCACAAAUUACCACAAGCCGCAUAGAAAUCCUCGAUCACGANNNNNNNNNNNNNNNNNNNNNNNNNNNNNNNNNNNNNNNNNNNNNNNNNNNNNNNNNNNNNNNNNNNNGCGUGUCGACGAUCCCGAUAGGAGCCGCGUAUCUCGUUCUCAGGACACGACGGAUAAGCGACGCGUAUGGUGGCCUGAUAGAAAUCACCCAAGUUUCCCUGGGUUGGCCCCGCACAGUGCUCUGUUUUGGACCNNNNNNNNNNNNNNNNNNNNNNNNNNNNNNNNNNNNNNNNNNNNNNNNNNNNNNNNNNNNNNNNNNNNNNNNNNNNNNNNNNNNNNNNNNNNNNNNNNNNACGGAGGCGCUGCCACAUCCUGUUCUUCAUCUGGAGGGCAGAUCUGGAGUCCGUUUCGGGCUCCGGAGAGGGGAAUUCGUCGCCGUCGUCAUCAUCAACCUUUCUCCGUCGACAAUUCCAUGAUGCUCUUCAUUGUUCAUGAGUAAUCUCAUCGUAGGCUUGCUGGACGGUGAUGAGUUGGAUGAGAUCUAUCAUUCAAUCAAGUUAGUUCUUGACGGGGAUUGAUCCCUAGUAUCCACUAUGUUCUAGAUUGAUGUUGCUACUACUUGGCUAUGCUUAAUGCUUGUCACUAGGGCUCGAGUGCCAUGACUUCAGAUCUGAACCUAUUAUGUUGUCGCCAAUAUAUGUGUGUUUUAGAUCCUAUCUUGCAAGUUGUAGUCACCUACUAUGUGUUAUGACCCGGCAACUCCGGAGUGACAAUAGCCGGAACCACUCCCGGAGAUGACCAUAGUAUGAGGAGUUCAUGUAUUCACCGCGUGUUAAUGCGUUGGUCCGGUUCUUUAUUAAAAGGAGAACCUUAAUAUCCCGUAGUUUCCAUCAGGACCCCGCUGGCACGGGAGGGAUGAACAAUAGAUGUCAUGCAAGUUCUUUUCCCUAAGCACGUAUGACUACAUACGGAAUACAUGCCUACAUUAGANNNNNNNNNNUAGGACCCCGCUGCCACGGGAGGGAUGGACAAUAGAUGUCAAGCAAGUUCCUUUCCCUAAGCACGUAUGACUACAUACGGAAUACAUGCCUACAUUAGAUUGAUGAACGGGAGCUAGUCACAUAUCUCUCCAUGUUAUAGCUGUUACAUGACGAAUCACAUCCGUCAUACUCAUCCAUCACCGAUCCACUGCCUACGAGUCUUUUACUACUCGUCCUCGCUACGUUACUUUGCCUAGGCUUGUCCCUUGCUACAAAAGGGAUUGGGCCACUUUGUUGCUACUGUUGCUACUGCUGUCACUUUGUUGCUACUGUUGCUACUGCUGUUACUUUGCUGUUGCUGAUACUGCUGUUCCUUGCUACUCCGCUACUUAGUGCAAGACCUUUUCUGGNNNNNNNNNNNNNNNNNNNNNNNNNNNNNNNNNNNNNNNNNNNNNNNNNNNNNNNNNNNNNNNNNNNNNNNNNNNNNNNNNNNNNNNNNNNNNNNNNNNNGGGAGAGGAUCCUCCCCGGCAACGGCGCCAGAAAUUGGCACGUUGAUGGGAGACUAUUCUUGACUUGAUCCUCCUCCCCGGCAAUAGCGCCAGAAAUUGGCACGUUGACGGGAGACUAUUCUUGACUUGAUCCUCCCCGGCAACAUCGCCAGAAAUUCUUCUGCUACGGUGACAGAAAUCCUUCUGUCUUCUCUUGAUCUUGCAUUGGUUUUCCCUUGAAGAGGAAAGGGCGAUGCAGCACAGGAGCAGUAAGUAUUUCCCUCAGUUUGAGAACCAAGGUAUCAAUCCAACAGGAGAAUCGCGUCAAGUCCAGAGUACCUGCACAAACACAAAUGAGCUUGCACCCAACACUAUAAAGGGGUUGUUAAUCCCUUCAAGAUUGAUUGCAAAGUGAGAUCUGAAGGCGGAAAGUGUAUCAAAGUAAAAGAGUAAGGCUGGAAAUAUCGUGUGAAGUAGACCCGGGGGCCAUAGUGUUCACUAGAGGCUUCUCUCAAAAUAGCAAAUAAUAUGGUGGGUGAACAAAUUACUGUCGAGCAAUUGAUAGAACCGCGAAAAGUCAUGACGAUAUCUAAGGCAAUGAUCAUACGUAUAGGCAUCACAUCCGAGACAAGUAGACCGAUACUUUUUGCAUCUACUACUAUUACUCCACACAUCGACCACUAUCCAGCAUACAUCUAGUGUAUUUAGUUCAUGACAAACAGAGUAACGCCUUAAGCAAGAUGACAUGAUGUCGAGGGAUAAACUCAAACUAGUGAUGAAAACCCCAUCUUUUUACCCUUGAUGGCAACAACAUGAUGCGUGCCUCGCUACCCCUUCUGUCACUGGGUGAGGUCACCGCACGGUAUGAACCCAAAACCAAGAACUUCUCCCAUUGCAAGAAUCAUAGAUCAAGUUGGCCAAACAAAACCCACAACCCGAAGAUAAUUACAAGGAUACGAAAUCAUGCAUAUAAGAGAGAUCAGAAGAAACUCGAAUAAGAUUCAUAGAUAAUCUGAUCAUAAAUCCACAAUUCAUCGGAUCUCGACAAACCCACCGCAGAAGAAGAUUACAUUGGAUAGAUCUCCAUGAAGAUCAUGGAGAACUUUGUAUUGAAGAUCCAAGAGAUAGAAGAAGCCAUCUAGCUAAUAGCAAUGGACCCGAAGGUCUAUGGUGAACUACUCACGCAUAAUCGGAGAGGUCAUGGUGUUGAUGAAGAAGCCCUCCGUAUCCGAAUCCCCCUGUCGGCAGGGCACCAGAACGUGCCCUAGAUGGGAUCUUCCAGAGACAGAAGCUUGCGGCGGCGGAAAAGUAUUUUCAUGGAUCUCUUAGGCAGUUUUGGAAAUUUUCUGAAUUUAUAGGCGGAAGAGGUAGGGCAGACGUGCCACAGGGUUGGCCACAAGCUUGCUCGGUGCGGGCCCCCUGGCCGCGCCUAGGGGGCUUGUGGGGUCCCCUGCUGGCCCUUGCCUUGGUCCUCAAGUCUGGCGCGUAUCUUCUGUUCCGGAAAAAAACCUUUUCGGAAGUUUAAUUCCGUUUGGACACCGUUUAAAAUCCUCCUCUGAAAAGGGUCAAAAACAUGGAAAAACAGGAACUGGCACUUGGCACUGAGUUAAUAAGUUAGUCUCAAAAAAUAUAUAAAAGGCAUAGAAAACAUCCAAAGUUUGACAAGAUAAUAGCAUGGAACCAUAAAAAAUUAUAGAUACGUUGGAGAUGUAUCAGAGGGGGAGACCCUGCACAAGUUCAUACAGCGCUUCACGACCAUGCGCCUCAAGAUCCCCAAGGCGUCGUACGAGGCCAUCAUCUCGGCCUUCUCCGACGAAGUCACCGGCCUCAAGAUGAAGGACGAGCUCGCCAUGAGUGAUGAAAUGAGCACUUCACUAAAGAUGUUUAACCUUGCAAACAAGUGUGCCAGGGCUGAAGAAGGUCGCCUGUCGCUCCUCGGCCCCCAGGCGGCAGAACCAGACGAGAAGAAGAAUAAGGCCAAGGAGACGAAGUGCAAGGCUCCGGCGAUGCUCGCAGCCGAGCCUGCGGCGACGCACGGCCGAGGGGGGGAGCAUCCGUUAGGAGGGGGGCCAACGUGCAUCUUCCACGAUACCAGCGUCCAUGAUACCUCUGAGUGCCAGGAGCUCCAACUGGUCUGUGCCGCGAACUUCAGAAGGCGCCCCGGACGGGGAGACAGAGGCCCCGCGCGCGGUGGUGGUCGCAGUCGAGGCCGCUGGGAUGAUCGGGAGCCGCGUCAAGGGUGGCAUGAACAGCCUCAUGAAGACCGUUGGCGCGGCCAACCUCAGGAGGACCGCUGGCGCGACGACCUUCAGGAUGGGCAACGACGCGGUCAGCCUCGUCUGGCUCGCCCUCAUGAGGCUGGGCUGCCUCCGCCACCCAGAAGGAGGGAUGAAGACAUCCAGAAUGAUGGGGCUAGGGGCUUCCAGGAGGUCAGGCGGUGGCCUCCAUCCUGGGUGGCACCCAGACCCCGACCUCGAACCACGCCUUCAAGAAGUUCGCCCGGGAGGUGAAUACUGCUCUUCCAAAGCCUGAAGCGAUGCGCCUCCUCAACUGGUCCCAGACCACCAUCACCUUCAACCCAAGUGAUCAGCUCAGGUGCUCGUUCAUGGCUGGCAAGCUCCCCAUGAUGUGCACCCCGACCAUCAGGAACGUCCUCGUCACCAAGACCCUUAUCGACAGUGGAGCGGGGCUCAACGUCCUCUCGGUCGAGACCUUCGAGACACUCCAGUUGUCGUACAAACAGCUCAUGCCGACCAAGCCCUUCUCAGGAGUCACGGAAGGGUCCACCGUGCCCAUCGGGCAGGUGCGUUUUCCAGUCACCUUCGCCGAGCGCAAGAACUACCACACUAAGAUCAUCAUCUUCGACGUCGCGCACAUCCACCUUCCGUACAACGCGGUCCUUGGCUACCCGGCUCUCGCCUAGUUCAUGGCAGUGACCCACCAUGGUUACAAUGUCAUCAAGAUGCCAGGGAGCGGCGGCGUCAUCACCAUCGCCUGCGACAAGAAGGAUGUCGUCUGUACACUCGAGCGCGCCUACCGCGCCACGGUGGCGGAACGCUCGGACGACGAAGAAGACGAGCCACCUCGCGAGGACCCACGCAAGAAGAAGAAGUAGCUCCUCCCCAUGGAGCUCCCUGGGACUUUGGGCUCCGUGCCCGGGGACGGGGUCAUGCCUCCCAUCUCAUAGGAAGGCGCGCUCAGUGCCCCCCUUGGGUCAAGCCUGGCGGUUCCCACCGGGUAGGUUCCCGGCCUGACCAGUGAGGCGAGGGUCGCCGUCGUUGGCACGGUCGACCGGACCCACAUUUGCAUCAACGCGCUCACAAUCAAGAGUCGCGGCUCAAGGCCCCUUCUGGCCCGCGCGAGCUAACCAUCAGUGGGUGUGCUCCGGUGCCGACACCCUCAUGCCCUUCGGGCUAGGGAACGCGGCUGCUACCUACCGACGACUCCAGCACGCCAUUCCCAUGCCUUGCCUGCUGGGGCAUGGUGAGGAAGAGGAUGAAAUGCUCGGGCCAAGCGAAGGUCCCGGGCCUCGGGAGACGGCGGACCCGUGAGGGUCGUGAUCAUGGAAGCAAGAGAUCGGGUGACGACGGCGCCCUCGGCCCUUCAGCGGCAUGGCUGCCAGGUUAAUUUUUGUUGGCUGCUGCGAGGUAAAUUUUUGGCUGACUCUGUCCGGGGGCGCCCACAGGGCCAUGUGGCCUCCACGAGUUCAGGGCACUCCCCAACCGCCACUUUCGUUUACGCAUCCUUCACUUGUUUCUGUCGCACCCACUUCGAACCCUAACGUUCUACCUUGCUUGCAUCUUUGAGCGGUCGGCCCCCCGCUUGGGGGCUCCGGCCGAAGCUUAUCCUUGCAAGCCUCCUGAGGCAGCAGACACCCUGCCUCACUCUCAAAGAAGAAGUCAGCAGGGUUUACCAAUGACCCAAAAGGAAUCAGGCGCCUAUGCCUCGGGGGUAGGGACACUCGCGAGGCCAAAGCGUCCUCGCGACCUCCCAAAUACACCCCCCUCGUGACACUCUCACGUAAUAACGAGUUGCAGUUGUAUACCCCGGGGCCCCCCGAGGACGCGGAGGGGUCCCUCCCAUGCCUUGUGGCAGCCUAUGCUUCGCGCUAGGGAGAAGACCGUGACACUCUCAUAAUAAUGAGUUGCGGUUGUAUACACCCGGGGGGCCCGAGGACGCGGAGGGCUCCCUCCCACGCCUAGUGGCAGCCCUACGCUCCAUGCUGGGGAGAAGACGGAGGCAAUCAACUCAGUCCGCUAAUGACUAUGCCCGCAGCUGGCAAGGAAAUCAACACAGUCCACCAAUGACUAUGCCCGCAACUGGCAAGGAAAUCAACACAGUCCACCAAUGACUAUGCCCACGGCUGGCCAGGAAUUCAACCCAGUCUACCUACGACUACGCCCACGCCCAGUGCGGGGGACAAACAACUGGAGGUAUGGAUAUGCUCGUAUGUCAAGGAGGACCCCUGAGCAUCGCGACUCAGGGGCCUAACUACGCCCGUAGCCCCUUCCCUCUUGGGCCGUCCUAGAAUCCAGUCGGUUCAACCACAGUGGAGGUACGCGUGGGGCGGGUGCUAUCGACGCAGAGCCUAGUGCGCUCAACAAGCCACUUAAAAUCUCUAAGGGAGAACGCUGGAGUUACUCGUACGUGAAGGGGGACUCCUGAGCAUCGUGACUCAGGAGCCUGAACUGCGCCCGUAGCCCCUUCCCUCUUGGGCCGCCCAAGCGGUCCAACGACGGUGGAGGUACGCAUGGGGCGGGCCCUAACGACGUAGAGUGCUGAAGGAGUUCGGGAGUCUUAAAUUUUUAGUUUCUUAGGAGGGACACUUGGAGUCGCUUGUACGUCAAGGGGGACUCCUGAGCAUCGCGACUGAGGGGCCUAACUGUGCUCGUAGCCCCUUCCCCCUUGGGUCGUCCUGGUAUCCGGUCAGUCCAAUGGCGGCGGAGGUACGUGCGGGGUGGGCCCUACCGACGUAGAGUGCUGAAGGUGUUCUCAAGUUUCAAAAUCCUCGCCACGUUCCCCUCAUGAGGGAUGCUCGCACGUCAAGGGGGCUCCUCAGCAUCGCGACUCAGGCGCCUAACUAAACCCGUAGCCCCUCACCUCUUGGGUCGUCCUGUAAUCCGGUCGGUUCAAUGGCGGCUGAGGUAUGCGCGGGCAGGGACCUGCCGACGCAGAGUCUCACAGCAAAAAUGAAAGAAACAAGGCGAAGAAAACAUUCAGGCAGUCAGCCAGUUAUUACAAGCCUUAACAAAUUCUUGAAAACACAAAAGAAUUGGACGCCUCCACGAGGCACGAUGUGCAUUGCAGGGAAAAACAAGGGGAAGAAAUCAGGAGGAACCGCCACCGCCGGUCGCCCCAUCUUAAGGGGGCUUGUCGUCAGCGUCGGUGGUGUCGUCUUCCCCGCCGUCGGCUUCGGUGGCCUCUGGAGAUGGGGGAACUGCGACGCGGGCGAACCUCUUCACAAACGCCUCCAAGGGGCCCUUCCCCGCCUCUCCAGUGCUGUCACGGGCCUCAGUAGGGACCGGCAGGAUCACGGAGUCGAAGUCAAACCCCGGCUCACAAAGAUGAAGGUGACUGAAGACGCGUGUUGCAGCCUCAGAAAAGAGGUUGCGGCACUCACUGUCCAAGAUCUUGUCCACCUGGAUGACGGCGUCCUCCAACGCCACGGCGAAGCUGCCCUAUGGGGUGGCUAUGGGCUCGUCGAACCUGUCUCGACAGAGGGUGUGGAGCACCGUGCGAAGCCUGAGCUCAACGUCAGGGAAGCCAACCAGCUCCGUGUCCUUCUUCUUCUCGGUUGCGACGAGAGCUUCCCCCUUGGCAUCGAGAAGGGUCAUCUUCGAGGCGAUCUCCUUCUCCUGCUCCUCCAAGCAUGCAUGCUUCGUUCCCAGGCAAGUUUCCUCCUGGGAUAGCUUUUCUUCCUGCGCGGUGAGCUUGGUUUUGCAGGCCUCGAGUUCUUCCUCCCACACGCGAAGCUGCUCGGCUAGCUUGUCUUGUUCUUCUUGGAAGGCCUUCAGGCGAGCCUCCACCUCUUCGCAGCAUUUCGCAGCCGCCGCAGCUCCUUUCAUCGUCUCCUCGCGCGCGGCGCGAGCGGAUUUGAAUUCCUUCAUCACCUCCUCACGAGCAAUGCGAGUGGAUUCGGCUUCCUCCAGCGCCUCCUCGCGCGCAGCGCGAGCGGCCUUGGCCUCCUUCUCACCCUCCGCCAUCACGACCACGACCUUGCACAGGGCAUCGAAGGCCUUGUUCAGGACGCUCUGGACGUAUACCAGAGUCCUCUGGAUCUCCCCCUGAGGACCCUCUAGUGCUGUCACGGGCGGUGUCGUCACGGAGGCAGCGUCACGAGGGACAGGGGGCUCCGAAGGUUGCUCGGAGAUUGUGAGCAUUGGCGCAUCAGUGGACUGAGGGCCCAUAAGAGCCUGCCCCUCGAGCAGCGGCGCCUCCACGACCGCCUCAGGACGCUUCGGGGGCUCGGGGGGCUCGGCGACCAUGGCUUGAGAGGUCGCCUCGCGAGCCUCCCCUUCUUCAUCGGCAGGCGGCGAUGCGUCGGGGAGGACCGUCGAUGCGUCAGGAGUCGCCUUCGGCUUGACGCACGCCUUCUUCUCCUUCGCCCCCAACGAGGCAACGCCUGUGGACAUCGGACAUAAAGGGAAUCAGCCAUGCACGGACGAGGACGCGCGGGGCGUGCCAAGACGAGUCACUUACUAUUCGAUGUCGACACAUCUCCUCUUCCUCUCCGCCCCGGCGAUGGCAGGGGUGACAGGGGCCCCCACAGAGGGGGCGAGCCCGGCGCCUCAGACUUCUCGCCGGCGGAGGCAGGAUGCGCCAAGGUCGACUCAGACCCGUGCUUUCGUAGGGCGAGCACGCAUGCGGACCGCAUGGCGCUGGGCCAACGCGGGUCCCCUGGAGAUCCUGGCCAGGCGCGAGGAGAUCACCGCAGAGACUUCUCCGGUGGCAUCAUCAUCUUCAAGCUCGCACAGAAGGAUGGCCCAUGACAGGAGAGGCACGCUCAACGGGCAGUCGUCGACGGUCUUCUCCGAGUCCUCCUCACCAAAGGUGUCGUUCGAUGACACCUCUACCGAACCAGAGCCCUCGGCCUGGAAGAGCCCCCGCUCAUCAAAGACAAGCAGCACGGCGAUCAGGUCGGCCCGAUCGUCGAGACGGUACAGCAGACCCAGAGCCUCGGGCAAGUCACCAGGGUCACCGCCCAGCAAGGUUGCCAUGACCCUGUUCAACUCCUCAGUAGGAAGGUCCUCGGAUCGGAGCCUGAGCUUGUCGUCAUCAGACUGGUAGUCCCACAAGGGCCUGGAAUGGGCCUGAAGGGGCGCCAGGCGUUGCGCCAAGAAUUCCUUCACUAUCAUCCCACGAGUCAUCCUCUUGGCGCUGAUGUCGUGGGAGAAGCGCUCCAGGAUGGGCAUGGCCCGAGGGUCAUAGAGCUUCAUUGAGCUCCACGCAGAAGUCUUCUCCGAUAGCCCCUUUGGCACCUUCAGUCGAGGGUUGGCGUCCUUGAGGCUCAUGAGAACCCAAUGGUGCCUGAAGUUUUCCACCUUCUUCCCAGCCUUCAGGAGCAAAUUGUCGCCCUGGGCCACUAUAAAGGAGAUGCAUGCCGACAAAUGGGCGUCCUCGUGCACGCGCGAGCUGAAGAAAUGGUGGAAGAGGGCUACUGAAGGCCGCACGCCUAUGAAGGCCUCACAGUAGAAAGCAAAGACGGUCAGGAGCAAGAUGGAGUUGGGUUGGAGGUGAAGGGCCUGGAUCUCGUAGUGGUUUAGGAUGGCGGUGAAGAACGAGGAGAAAGGCGGCACCAGCCCAGCGAAGAUGCUAUGGAGGAAGAAGGGGUAUACUGCCUUCGACGUGGGAUGCUUUGUUGUAGCGCUAGGCUAGAUGAAGGUCCGCCCGUGCUCGCUGGACUCGGCCGCCAUACAUGGGAGCACGGAGGUAAGAUCCACAUCCUUGGAGAAGGCGCACUCUAGGAGCGGAGGAGAUGGGGCUGGACCUUGCAUCUUUGGCCUCUACUUGCCAGCGGGCGCCAUCGCUGAACCGACAAGGGAACGACACGGUGCUGGAUCUGGGGGACGUGAGUUGUUGUUUGAGACCGAGGAGGAAGAGCGAGUGCGGGAGAAAGGAAAGAAAUAAUGGACCGACGCAACGAGUCAGGUUCCUAAUAGCUCGGGUGGAGACAGAAGGCAAGGGAGACCCGACAUCAGCCACGUGAUGCGCACCGGCCUAGCCCACACGCAUUUAGGACCCGUGUCGCUUGAUAACCCACAAGUAUAGGGGAUCGCAACAGUUUUCGAGGGUAGAGUAUUCAACCAAAAUUUGUUGAUUCGACACAAGGGGAAGCCAAAGAAUAUUCUCGAGUAUUAGCAAUUGAGUUGUCAAUUCAACCACACCUGAAAGGCUUAGUAUCUGCAGCAAAGUUUCAGUAACAGAGUAAUGUGAUAGUAACGAUAACAGUAGCAGUAGUGACAGCAGUAGCGGUAACAGUAGCAGCAGUGACAGCAGUAGUGGUAAAGUAACGUAGCAAGGACCAGUAGGAAAAUACUCGUAUGCAUUGGAUCGGUGAUGGAUAAUUAUGUCGUAUGACAUUCAUCAUGUAUCAGUUAUAACAUGGGAUGAUUUCUAACUAGCUCCAGUUCGUCAAUGUAUUGUAGGCAUGUAAUCCGUAUAUAGUCAUACGUGCUUAUGGAAAAGAACUUGCAUGACAUCUAUUGUCCAUCCCUCCCGCGGCAGCGGGGUCCUAAUGGAAACUAAGAGAUAUUAAGGUCUCCUUUUAAUAGAGAACCGGAACAAAACAUUAGCACUUAGUGAAUACAUGAACUCCUCAUACUAUGGUCAUCUCCGGGAGUGGUUCCGGCUAUUGUCACUCCGGGGUUGCCGGGUCAUAACACAUAGUAGGUGACUACAACUUGCAAGAUAGGAUCCAGAACUCACAUAUAUUGAUGAAAACAUAAUAGGUUCCGAUCUGAAAUCAUGGCACUCGGGCCCGAGUGACAAGCAUUAAGCAUAGCAAAGUAGUAGCAACAUCAAUCUCAGAACAUAGUGGAUACUAGGGAUCAAACCCCAUCAAAACUAACUCGAUUACAUGAUAGAUCUCAUCCAACCCAUCACCGUCUAGCAAGCCUACGAUGAGAUUACUCACGAACAAUGAAGAGCAUCAUGGAAUUGGCGAUGAAGGAUGGUUGGUGAUGACCACGGCGUCGAUUUCCCCUCUUCGGAGCCAAGAACGGACUCUGGAUCUGCCCUCCAGAGGAAGAACGGGUGGUGGCGGCGGCUCCGUAUUGUAAAACGCGAUGAACUCUUCUCUCUUAAUUUUUUUGGGCGAGAGAGACUAUAUAGAGAUGGAGUUGAAGGCGGCGGAGCCAUGAGGGCCUCGCAAGCCUGCGAGGCGCGGCCAGGGGGUCCGCGCCUCCUGGGCUUGUGGGCUCGUGGCUCCAUCCCUCCACGUAAUUCUUGCGCGAGUAUUUUUUAUAUAUUCCACAAAAAAUCCUCGUAAAUUUCCAGGUCAUUCCGAGAACUUUUAUUUAUGCGCAAAAACAACACCAUGGCAAUUCGGCUGAAAACAGCGUCAGUCCGGGUUAGUUCCAUUCAAAUCAUGCAAAUUAGAGUCCAAAACAAGGGCAAAAGAGUCUGGAAACGUAGAUACGAUGGAGAUGUAUCAACUCGCCCGAGCUUAAAGCCUUGCUUGUCCUCAAGCAAUUCAGUUGACAAACUGAAAGAGACAAAAGAUAAACUUUUAUGAACUCUGUUUGAUCUUCUUGCUGUAAUUAUGUCUAACUCAUAUUCAGAUUUUCAGCAAGAUCAUAAGCUACCACAUAAGCAAUGACAUUUAGGUCUCAUGGUAAACUCAUAUCAAUGGAAAAAAUCAACUAGCGAGCAAUAAUAAUAAGUUUCAAAUGUCAACACUUCAAUCAAAACAAUCAUGAAGCAAUAUGAACAGAUGGUAUCUCGCUAGCUCUUUCUGAGACCGCAAAACAUAAAUGCAGAGCACCUUCAAAGACCAAGGGCUGACUGAACAUUGUAAUUCAUGGCAAAGAAGAUCCAGUCACAGUCAUACUCAAUAUCAAUUAAUAGCAAAGCAUAAAAAUGACGAAGGUGCUCUCUAACUUGUGCCUUUUAUAAGAAGAGGAUGACUCAACAGAAACAUAAAUAGAUAGGCCCUUCGCAGAGGGAAGCAUUGAUUUCCAGAGGUGCGAGAGCUCAAGCUUUGAAGACAAAGAUAAAUAAUUUUGGGUGGCAUGCUUUCAUUAUCAACACAAUGACAAAGAGUUUUCACCAUCUUCCAUGCUACACAUAUUAUAGGCGGUUCCCAAACAGAAACGUAAAGUUUUGACUCCCCCACCACCGAUCAAUCACAUUCCACGACUAGCCGAAUCCUCGGGUGCCGUCCAUACCAACAACAAUCCAGGGGGAGUUUUGUUUUCAAUUAUCUUUUCGAUUUGAGCAUGGAACUGGGAAUGCCAAUUACCGGCCCCUUUCUCGUGAGUGAUAGUGAAUAAACAUGUAUCGAGGAUAAAACGCCUAGCAUGGAAGAUACUGGCCGCCCCUUGUCACCACAUGAGCGGUUCGGGCAUACAAAACAGAUUAUUUCUUGAAGAUUUAGAGAGUGGCACAUGCAAAUUUACUUGGAACAGCAGGUAGAUACCGCAUAUAGGUAGGUACGGUGGACUCAUAUGGAAUAACUUUGGGUUUAUGGAAGUGGAUGCACAAGCAGUAUUCCCGCUUAGUACAAGUGAAGGCUAGCAAAAGACUAGGAAGUGACCAACUAGAGGGCGACAACAGUCAUCAAUAUGCAUUGAAAUUAACCAACAUUGAGUCCAAGCAUGAGUAGGACAUAAAUCACCAUAAACAUGAAUAUCAUAGAGGUUAUGUUGAUUUUGUUUCAACUACAUGCAUAAACAUGCGCCAAGUCAAGCCACUUGAAUCAUUCAAAGGAGGAUACCAUCCUAUCAUACUACAUCGUAAUCAUCUUGAAAUUCAUGUUGGCAUCCAAGACAAACCAUUAUAAGCUCCUAGCUAAUUAAGCAUGGCAUCAGAAACUAUGAUCUCUAAGUUUUCAUUGCAAACAUGUUUCUCUCAUAACAAAGCUGAAUUAGGAACGAUGAGAAAGUCAUAUUUACAAAAACAAAAUAGGUCGAGUUCAUACCAGCUUUUCCAGGCUCAAUCACUUUAUCAUAUAUCGUCAUUAUUGCCUUUCAUUUGCAUGACCGAAUGAUGUGAAUCAUAAUGAGAGUGUUCGUGCAUUGGACUAAGCUGGAAUCUGCAAGCAAACUCAAAGGAGAAGACAAAGUAAUAUGGCUCUUUGACAAAUAAACAAAUAUGCAUGUGAGAGCCACUAAACAUUUUAACCAUGGUCUUCUACCUUGACCCAAAGAAAAAGAAAACUAUUUACUCGGGAAAGCUCCCAACAAGCAAAAGAAGAAAGAGAAAUAUUUUUGGGUUUUCUUUUUAAACACCACUAAGCAAGCUCGAAAGUAAACUUACAACUAAUUUUUUUUGUUUUUCUCAAACUAGACAAACACACGAGAAUAAAGCGAGAAAAAGAAAUAACUAGCAUGGAUGAUACAGUGGCAAGGUGUGAGCACCGACUAUCAAAGUGAAAGUGUGAGCAUGAAUAUAAAGUCGGUGAGAAAUACGUACUCCCCUAAGAUUAGGCUUUUGGCCUAAGUUGGUCUAUUCCCAUGUAGGGAAAUAACCGUCUCCGGGGUACUCCGGAGUGUACUGAGGGUGCCACUGCUGGGUGAGCUCCUCUGGCUCCCACUGAUAAACUAGUGUAUGGUACUCGACUGGUAGCUUGGGCACGGGCGCCUGUUGUGGUGCUAUGCCCCAAUAUGCGUAGAUGUCCAAGGGCAUAAUAAUGUACCGCCUAGAUGAAGAUUGAACAAAGAAGGAGCAGGCAAAGUAAUAGUCUCACGAGUACCCUGACUAAAUACCAGGUUAUAAAUCAUCCUCUUAUUUAUAUCUUUAUCAAGAAAGUCAUGGCGAACCAUGCUAUCAUAAUCUAGAUAUCUUUCACGAAGAAGCAUCUCUUCUUCCUCGUACAGUCUAAUAGGUAUCUCGGAAUGUUUAGCAAGACGGGUAGCAUAGAUACUUCCAUAAACAACGCCUUUAGUACGGUUCAUGUUCAACCGUUGAGCCACUAUAGAGCCCAAGCUAUAAGUUUUAUCAUUAUAAAGAGCUUCGCGCAAACCGCAAGAUCUGGGGAGCUAAGAGCCCCAGCUUUCCCACAGCCAAUCAAACAUUUUCCCACGAAUAAUGAGAGAUAUCGAAGCACGGAAAAUGUACACUAGCAACUCUAGAGCAAGACACUCCUCUCUCCUCUCCUACAGCAAUAGUAUCAAUGAAAGCCUCCAAGUUCUGUGGACGAGGUUCAUGAAUAUCCCCAACAUAAGGUAAUUCGCAAACAUUGCAAAAAUCCUGAAGUGACAUGCGCUGGGGGAUAUCAUAUAACUUGAACUCAACCAUAGGAGGACUCUUCCUUGGAUAGAAAUUAAAGCUUUGCAUGAAAAUAUUAGUGAGGAGGAGGUAUUGUGGACACUUAUCUUCAACAAAAGCGGUAAGGUCUGUGUUCUCCACCAAGUAAUAAAAAUCCUCAUAAAGACCGGCGGCACGUAAGAACACAUCGCUUGGCCACUCGCACACUCGAACUUCUGCAACUCGGGGGACCAGAUACUUGGGUUUCUUCUUCUCAUUGUCAUCUUCCUUGGGGUCAUGGCUUGAAGAGCCUCUUAGGAACCUCCUCAUCAUUUCCUUUUUCUUUCUCAAGGAACAAUCCCCCAUAACAGUUUGGUGAAUGGGGCUUUGCACAAGGAGAUCGAAAAAUGCAGCAAGAAGAGCAAGAACACGGGUUUGAGCUGUGGAAUGAUUUUUUAUGGAGGUAGAAGAAGGAGAUGGGAGCUAGAAUAAGUGGAGGGGGCCACGUGGGGCCCACAAGCCUGACAGGCGCGGCCACGGGGGUGCCCUCGCCUCCUGGGCUUGUGGCCCACUGGUGCAUCCCCCUGACUAGCUCUCUAUCUCAGAAUUUUUCAAAAAUUCCAGAAAAAAUCAUACUAGAAUUUCAGGGCAUUUGAAGAACUUUUAUUUUCGGGACACUUUUCUAUGGGACGGAAAAAAAGCACAAAACAGGAAAAAUAAAGCUAAAUUUAUCAUUUUUCUUCUAAGCAACAGAAAAUAAAAGUUUGGAACAGAAGGUUUUGACUCCUAGAUUCAUCCAUCUCAUGGCAUCAAAACAAAUCCGUAAAUGAGGUUGAUCAAGUCUCCUUGACAAACAUUUUUCGAAUCACAUAAAACCGGAGAAUUUUUGAAUAAUCACUAGGUUACCUCAAUGAGGAUGUGCAUAUCCCCAACAAGUAAAUCAUACUUCAUAUUGACAGUAGGUAUAGGGCAUUCAAAGCUUCCAAUAAGAAUUAAUGAAGUUUUUUCAAUAGCAUUGAUACAAUGAACUCGAUAUUGUUUCUUCGGAAAGUGCACCGUAUGCUCAUUACCAUUAACAUGGAAAGUGACAUUGCCUUUGUUGCAAUCAAUAACAGCCCCUGCAGUGUUUAAAAAGGGUCUUCCAAGGAUGACCUCCAUGGCAUCAUCCUCGGGAAUAUCCAGAAUAACAAAGUUCGUUAAGAUAGUAAUGUUAGCAACCACAACAGGCACAUCCUCGCAAAUGUCGAUAGGGAAAGCAGUUGAUUUGUCGGCCAUUUGCAAAGACAUUUCAGUGGCUGUCAACUUUUCCAAUUCAAGUUUACGAUAAAGAGAGAGAGGCAUAACACUAACACCAGCUCCAAGAUCGCAUAAAGCAGUUCUAACAGCAUUUCCUUUAAUGGAGAAAGGUAUAGUGGGCACUCCGGGAUCACCUAGUUUCUUAGGCCACCCUUGAAGGUGUAAUUAGCAAGCAUGGUGGAAAUCUCAACCUCAGGUAUCCUCCUUUUAUUAGUCACUAUAUCUUUCAUGUACUUACCAUAAGGAGACAUUUUGAGCAUAUCUGUCAAACGCAUUUGCAGAAAGACGGGUCUAAUCAUUUCAACAAAGCGCUGAAAAUCCUCAUCAUCCUUUUUCAUGGAUUGUUUGGGAGGAAAGGGCAUGGGUUUCCGAACCCAUGGUUCUCUUUCUUUACCAUGCUUCCUAGCAAUGAAGUCGUUCUUAUCAUAUCUCCUAUUCUUAGGUUGUGGGUUAUCAAGAUCAACAGGUUGAAUCUCCACAUCCUUAUCGUUACUAGGUUGAGCAUCAAAAUGAACACCACUAUCGAUAUUAUCACUAGGCUCAUGUUCAUCACCAGAUUGUGUUUCGGCAUCAGAAACAGAGAUAUCAUUUGGAUUCUCAGGUGUAACAGCAGCAGGUUUGCUAGCAUGCAAGUUCCUAUCAUCUUUCUUUUUCUUCCUAAUACCAGGAUGACUAGGUGCAUCAGUGUUAACUCCUUGAGAAUCUUGUUCAAUUCUCUUAGGAUGACCCUUAGGAUACAAAGGUUCCUGGGUCAUUCUACCACCUCUAGUGACAACUCUAACAGACUUGUCAUUCAACUCAUUGAGAAAGUCAUUUUGAGCCUUAAGUACUUGUUCUACUUGACUAGUGACCAUAGAGGCAUGUUUACUCAAAAGCUUAAGAUCAUUGACAUUUCUAUCCACACAAGCACUUAUAUGACUAAUCAUGCGAGCAUUUUGUUCCAAAUGUCUGCUAACAUAAUCAUUGAAACUUGGUUGUUUGGCAACGAAGUUAUCAAAUUCAUCUAAUUAUAAGCUAGCAGGUUUAUCAUAAGGAAUAUCACUCUCAUUGAAUCUACGAAGAGAAUUUACCUCUACUACCUGUGUCGAGUUAUCAAGACCAUAUAUUUCUUCAAUAGGUGGUAGAUUCUUAACAUCUUCAGAUUUAAUACCUUUCUCUUGCAUAGAUUUCUUGGCUUCUUGCAUAUCUUCAGGACUGAGGAAUAGAAUACCUCUUUUCUUCGGAGUUGGCUUCGGAGGUGGUUCGGGAAUAGUCCAAGUAUUAUCAUUGCUCAAGAUAUUAUUCAAUAGAAUUUCACCUUGUUCCACAGUUCGUUCCCUGAAAACACAACCAGCACAACUAUCUAGGUGGUCCCUAGAAGCAUCGGUUAAUCCAUUGUAAAAGAUAUCAAGUAUUUCAUUUUUCUCAAGAGAGUGAUGAGGCAAAGCAUUAAGUAGCUGGACAAGCCUCCCCCAAGCUUGUGGGAGACUCUCUUCUUCAACUUGCACCAAGUUAUGUAUAUAUCCUGCAAGGCAGCUUGUUUCUUAUGGGUAGGAAAAUAUUUCUCAGAGAAGUAGUAGAUCAUAUCCUGGGGACUACGCUCACAACCAGGAGCAAGAGAAGUAAACCAAGUCUUAGCAUCACCCUUUAGUGAGAAAGGAAACAACUUAAGGAUAUAGUAGUGGCGGAUCUUUUCCUCACUCGUAAAUAGGGUGGCUAUAUCGUGCAUUUUGGUAAGAUGUGCUACAACCGUUUCAGACUCAUAACCAUGAAAAGGAUCAUAUUCGACCAAAGUGAUUAACUCAGGAUCGACAGAGAAUUCAUAAUCCUUAUCAGUAACAAAGAUAGGCGAAAUAGCAAACUUAGGAUCAUAUUUCAUUCUAGCGUUCAAAGAUUUUUCUUUCCACUUGCGCAAUAAAUUCUCAAGAUCAUAGCUAUCCUUACAAGCAAGAAAGUCCUCAGCUACCUCUCCCUCCAUAACAUAACCCUCAGGUAUAUCAGGCAAUUCAUAUCUAGGAGAGCUAGUUCUAACAGGUGAAACAGCAGGUUCUACUUCAAUAAUUUCAACAGUUUCAGAAGUAUCAUCACAUUCAGCAGCAACUCUAGCAAUUUUUGCAUUAAGGAAUGCACCUAGUGGCAAAGCAGUAUCAAGCAAAGCAUCAUCAUAAGCAUCAUGGAUAGCAUAAGUAGCCUCAUCAAGCACAUGCGACACAUCAGAAUUUCUAGUAGGUGGUGGUGUCGCAAACUUACUCAUAACUGAAGGUGAAUCAAGUGCAGAGCUAGACGGCAGUUCCUUACCUGUCCUCGUAGUUGAGGGCAAGACUUUAGUUUUUGGAUCUCUCGGAUUCCUCAUAGUGAUCAACAGACGUAAAUCCCAAGUGAAUCAGAGAAUAGAGCUAGGCCUCCCAGGCAACGACGCCAGAAAAUAGUCUUGAUAACCCACAAGUAUAGGGGAUCGCAAGAGUUUUCGAGGGUAGAGUAUUCAACCCAAAUUUGUUGAUUCAACACAAGGGAAAUCCAAAGAAUAUUCUCAAGUAUUAGUAGUUGACUUGUUAACUCAACCACACCUGAAAGACUAAGUAUCUGCAGCAAAGUUUCAGUAACAGAGUAGUGUGAUAGUAACGGUAGCAGCGGUAACAGUAGCAGUAGUGACAACAGUAGCGGUAACAGUAGCAGUAGUGACAGCAGUUGCGGUAAAGUAACGUAGCAAGGACCAGUAGGAAAAGACUCGUAAGCAUUGGAUAGGUGAUGGAUAAUUAUGUCGGAUGACAUUCAUCAUGUAUGAGUUAUAACAUGGGAUGAUUUGUAACUAGCACUAGUUCGUCAAUGUAAUGUAGGCAUGUAAUCCGUAUAUAGUCAUACGUGCUUAUGGAAAAGAACUUGCAUGACAUCUAUUGUCCAUCCCUCCUGUGGAAGCGGGGUCCUAAUGGAAACUAAGGGAUAUUAAGGUCUCCUUUUAAUACAGAACCGGAACAAAGCAUUAGCACUUAGUGAACACAUGAACUCCUCAUACUAUGGUCAUCUCCAGGAGUGGUUCCGGCUAUUGUCACUCCGGGGUUGCCGGGUCAUAACACAUAGUAGGUGACUACAACUUGCAAGAUAGGAUCAAGAACUCACAUAUAUUGAUGAAAACAUAAUAGGUUCAGAUCUGAAAUCAUGGCACUCGGGCCCUAGUGACAAGCAUUAAGCAUAGCAAAGUAGUAGCAACAUCAAUCUCAGAACAUACUGGAUACUAGGGAUCAAAUCCCAUCAAAACUAACUCGAUUACAUGAUAGAUCUCAUCCAACCCAUCACUGUCCAGCAAGCCUACGAUGAGAUUACUCACAAAUGAUGAAGAGCAUCAUGGAAUUGGUGAUGAAGGAUGGUUGGUGAUGACGACGGCGUCGAUUUCCCCUCUCCGGAGCCCAGAACGGACUCCGGAUCUGCCCUCCAAAGGAAGGACAAGUGGUGGCGGUGGAUCCGUAUCGUAAAACGCGAUGAACUCUUCUGUCUUAAUUUUUCUGGGCGAGAGAGACUAUAUAGAGCUGGAGUUGGAAGCGGCAGAGCCACGAGGGCCUCACAAGCCUGCCAGGCAUGGCGAGGGGGGUCGCGCCUCCUUGGCUUGUGGGCUCCUGGCUCUGUCCCACCAGGAAAUUCUUGCGCCAGUAUUUUUAUAUAUUCCACAAAAAAUCCUCGUAAAUUUCCAGGUCAUUCCGAGAACUUCUAUUUCUGCGCAAAAACAACACCAUGGCAAUUCUGCUGAAAACAGCGUCAGUCUGGGUUAGUUCCAUUCAAAUCAUGCAAAUUAGAGUCCAAAACAAGGGAAAAAGAGUUUGGAAAAGUAGAUAUGAUGGAGACGUAUCAUCGCCUCAGACCGCCCCCAAGGCUUCGCCUAGAGGCCGGCACGAGCACGCAUUGGGCCCGGGGGCUACUAUCGGCGUUCUGGGAAUGGGGGUACCCAGACUUGCCUACCUGUGGCCCAGGGCUGACCCACUUCACCAAGAAAGCACAAUCAGGUGCGGCACCACUCAAGGCAAGGUCCUCGCGAGGGUCCAAGCCUCGCGAGGAGGAACAGCCUCCAGACCCGCAGGGGGCUCAUCAGGACCCCUUCGGAGCGGCGGAUAUUCUGAGGCGAGACCCGACCUCAAGAGUCAAGGAUGACGUGGAGGAAGGACAGGCGAGUAGCACACAGCAGGACGGAGCAUUUUCCCCUUUAGUGCAAAAGGGGGAAGGAUGAACCGGGGUUCCCAAGGCAUCUUCCAAAGCUUCCCUUUCUGGUGCAACAAGGCCAUCACUACCUGCCAGCAGGACAGACGUCAUCCCUGGACACGUCCCUACAGCGCUGGCAGCCACUUCGGAGGCGAAGACCACCUUUGGGCAAGGGAGCAUGAUCCCCUGUUCCCCCUCAAAAUUAGUCGUUGUGGAAUCCCUUCUCGCCAAAACGAUAAGGGAAGAGGACCGGUGUGACAUCCUCGACUUUUGCAACAUUAAUUAUUGUAAUUAAGCUACAGUGAUCACCCUCGGUAAUGAUGCCACAUCAUCGAGAAUUCCCAUCUCAGACCCGUGUUGAUUCGAGUCUGUCCGGAUCCAAAAUUUGAAAGCAAAAGAAAAAGUACUUUAUAAGUUCAUUACAAAUUUUAAAAGAAUAUGUUUAUGAAAGAAAGAAUUAAAAGUAUGUAUAAUAAAUUGUAAAAGAAAGUAUAAUAAAAGAAAGUAUUUAAAAAUAAAAAUCAAAUAGUAAAAUAAAUAAUGAAAGAAAGAAAUAAUAGAAAAGGGAAAAGGCAAAAUAAAACAAAACGAAAAAAAAAGGAAAAAGCAACCCCCCACCCCCUGGUCUAGCUGGGCCAAGAGGCCCAACCGGCCAGGCCCCCAAAUCGCCCCCACCCAAACCCUAGAGCCCCCCCUCGGCGGCAGGCCACCCCCCCUCGCUACUCCCUCCUCCCACCGAGCGCCGCCAGCGCCCUCCACGCUCCCCCUCGGCCCCACCCCCACCGACGCACUGCCCCACCCACCCACGCUCUCUCUCUCUCCCGUAACCCUCCCCCACGAGAGCCCCCUCUCUCGGUCCUCUCCCCACCCCACCGACACAUCUCUCCCUCCCACGACGCCAGAUCCCCCUCCUCUCCCACGUCGCCUCGCCCUCCUCUCCCGUAACUCCCGUCGCCCCCAGAUCCCUCCUCCCGGCCGGCGAGCCCCCACGGCCUCCUCCCUCCACCGACCCUCCUCNCCCCCACCUCCACCGCGCUGGCCAGCAGCACCACCUCGGCCCUCCAACCUCGCCGGCCUACCACCCGCCGCCCCCGUCGGCCUUCUCCCGCUCGGUCCAGGAGGGACCGGGCAGGGAGACAUCUCCACCUCGCCGGAUCCGGCCGGCUCCCCCUCGCCGGCGCGUCAUCACCAUCAUCACCGUCCCCUUCACCACUGGAACCACACCGUCUCCUCCGCCCCUUCCCGCGAACUCCGGCUUCACCGGCCCCUCCCGUCAACGUCGGUGAGCCCCUCCUCGGGCUCCUCCCACCAUGUCGUUCUCCUCGCCGCCCCGGUUCCGUUCCGGCAAACGGGACCCCGAUCCGUCGACGGUAGACUCCGGUAGGAAGGAUUGAACUUUUGGUUCUUCUAGGUGGAGUUAGCAGAGAGUUGUUCAUUGUCUGUUAAGAGAGAGAGAGAGAUGAGUGUUGAGAGAGAAAAGUAAAUAAAAACAAAUGUUGUAUUCCGUAUGUAUGUAUGUAUGUAUGUAUUUGAUACCCGUAUUUAUGUAUGUAUUGCGUAUAUAAAUAUUGGAGGAAUACGAUAUUUGCAUGUUUAUAUCUAUGGAAAAAAUCGAGUAUAUGGCCGAUGUCACUUACCGAUGGGGCCAUACCUCCACACCCACUUACAGGGAGGCCCCACACUCGCUUUGAAGAAAAUGGAAAUUAAAAUAUAAAUAAUAGCAAUAUAUGUUUUUUAUUAAAUAAAUAAAUAAAUAGAUAUAAUAAUUAAUUAAUGAGUCAAUGAAUUAGUUAAAUAAAUAUAUAAGUUAAUCUGUUAAUUAGAAUAAUUAAUUAACAUAAUGAGAGAAUGCCACGUGGGUCCCUCAUUAAAUUAAUCUGAUUAAAUAAUAUUUAAUCUUAAAUAAAACUUGUGCCUAUGACGUUCGGGACCCGCUGGUCAGUUGACCAGUCAAAUGUUGAUAUCAGCAUGACAUCGUGAUGAUGUCAUAAUGGGAUUUUAUUAAAAUAGCUAAAUCUGUUUUUAAUUCCUAAAUAAUUAAUAAAACUUUAAAAAUUAAUAUUAAAUAAUCCGUAAGUCAGAUCAAAAUAUUUUCAACAUGAAAGUUGAUCAGCAGAUCGAGACGAACCCGGAUACACGGCCCGUUCGUCUGUCACGCGUCCCUAGCAUAGCAAACUUGGAACUUUUCCUCCGUUUCCAGUGUAACCUGUAGUAGCCCGAGACCCGGAAAAUAUCGUCAGAUAUUCUUCCGACCCGUCUAUGACGGAUGUUGCUGCGUUAGCUCAUGUCUAGCCUGCAUCUUUCCAUGUCAUGCUUUGUGUUGCAUCGGUGCUAUUUAUUUAUUGUUUCUUCCCCCUCUUCUUACCGGUAGACCCCGAGACUGACGCUGCUGCCGGGUACAUCUACAACCCUGCCGAUCAGUCCUUUGCCGCAGAGCAGCAAGGCAAGCAAAUUCCCCUUGAUCAUUCCUAUAUCGCCUAUGUCUUUCUUUCUACUGCUUGCAUUAGUAUUUUUGCUACUGUUGUAGUUAGCUCCUAUAUUUGAUGCAUAGCCUAUUUUUGAUGAACUGCUACUUUCAGUCCUGUACCUUUAAUCUCCUUAGUAUAGGUGGAGCAGUCAUCCCCUCUGACCCCGUAGUUCAGUUGCCCCGCUUGUUUUCAAUUCUCGAUCUCUGAUCGACGAGCCAGACCCGACACAGCACAUUCACCCCCUUCGUUGUACGACGCUACAGAGAUACUAUCGGGUACCGAGGGUGACACCUCGCUAAGUACUCCUGAUGAUAUAUCUGUAGUAUAGCUAGUCGGUCGUGGUUAUCGAGGGUGAUUCCUCUUUCACCAUUCCCGAUGACGCCUCUGUCGUCCAACCCCGCGAGUGUGGGACCCCCGAGGGUGAUUCCUCUAAGCCCACCUUGACGGGUACAUCGUUCGGUGUCCAACGAGGGUGAUACCUCGGACCCCCCCCCCCGAUGUUACAACCACACAGUUACUCGACCAUGUUACUGGGAUCAUGGGUGAUUAGUUGUAAGACGGGUGGAUUCCCGUGAGACUGUGUUGAUGGCCUAAUUAAAAUGCUAAUGGAUUUGGGUAUUUGAUCUGGGUUGGUCGGAGACCUUUUCGCACUAACCGGCUACGCGGGAAGAAUUAUGGGUACUCGGCGUCGCGGUAUCAGCCGAAGCUUUUCAGAUGCCAGCAAUGUAGCGGCGCGCGCCCGAGUGGUCCCGAGAUGCAUCGCGCUUGUGAUUAAGGGAUGCUAGGACUGACGUCGGCCGCCCACGCCACGUGCAGGAGCGUGAAGGGGAACUGGGCCCACGAACCCUUUGUGCUUAGGAUUUAGACCGGCGGGCUGGCCUCUCUGAUUAGUCUUAGGUGGGGCUUCGACGUGUCGAUAUUCCGAGGCCGGGCAGGACCCAGAAAAGUAUGUCCGGCCAGAGUGUUAUCGAGCGUGACGGGACAUGUGGUGCACCCCUGCAGGGAUGAAAAUUAACUAUUCGGAUAGCCGUGUCCACGGUUACAGGACGACUUGGAGUUGUGCCCCGAUCUUUUACAACUACAAUUGUUACUUAACUGGAAUUAGUUUGCCUCGGGAUUGCUUCCUCGCAGGGAGUCGAGGGAGGAUCUUUAGGCGUGACCUCACUUUAAUAUUGUUGUAACAAUAUGACUAUUUAUGUUUUACCCCCUGUUCUACUCUCGUCUAUUGCUGCAAGACCCUGAAGAUGCUAGUCUUCGCUAGGACUAGGCCUUCUCUCUCUAUUCUCGCAUUGUUGUAGUCAGCCCACAUAUAACCCCCUUCUUUGAUACUGAUGCAUAAUUAGAAUAGUUCUGAUGUAAGACUUGCGAGUACUUUGGAUGAGUACUCACCGCUGCUUUGCUCCCCCCUUGUCCCCUUGAUCCGUUUGCUGCGACCAGAUGAUGGUGCCCAGGAGAUGGAGAUCCCCGCCGCCGACGACUGCUACCCCGACGGUGCCUACUACUACGUGGAGGCCGCUGAUGAUCAGGAGUAGUUAGGAGGUUCCCAGGCAGGAGGCCUCGCCUCGUUCGAUCGUUGUAUCUUUUGUGCUAGCCUUCUCUAAGGCACCCCAUGUUUUAUGUCUGUACUCAGAUAUCUGUUGCUUCCGCUGACUCGUGUGUUUAUCGAGCUUUCGUAUUCUAGCCCUCGAGGCCCCUGGCUUGUAAUAUGAAGCUGAUGUUAUUUUAUUUGUGUCUAGAGUUGUGUUGUGAUAUCUUCCCGUGAAUCCUUGGGUUUGAUCGUACGCAUUUGCGUGUAUGGUUAGCGUACGAUUAAAUCGAGGGCGUCACAACCGGGGCCACCACUAUAUAUAGAGAGAGUAGGUUACUUCAUAGGGGAUCCGAUUCAUUCAUUCUCCCACCGGCACCACACAAAGGCCACCCAGCCUCCGGAGUCCCUCGAACAUUGUACUAGUUCAUCCACCAACCUCCACGAAAGGCAAUCCACCAAAGCAGGAGUAUGGUAUUACGCUUCUCAGUGGCCCGAACCUGGGUAAACGGUUGUGUUCUGUGUCUUUCUCACCAUCGAGUGAGUUCUCUGCCAUCCCCAGCGAGUAGCGAGUUAGGUGAGGCGAUCAAACGAGAGAUCUUCGUACACGCCCGUGAGUUCGAAUCUUUACGGUUUUGCGGAGCCCGGAAUCCGACAGUAAGAUCCAAUUGCCUGACUUGGACACCAUGGUGCUUAACAUUUGUAUUAAUGUGGUGAAGACGGAGUCAUGCUUUGUUAAUAUGAAAGAUUAUUGGGGAUAACCAUUCUUUUUGGAUUGUAUACUUUGAAAGAUUGAUGAUUUUGUUACUCAUGCUUAUAAUUAUUACUAUAUUUAUGUUUGUUGAUUCAUCAUUACUCACUGAGCAUACAUGCAAAAUAUUACAUAUAGGAUAGCAUGUCACAUCAAAAAUUCUGUUGUUAUCAUUUACCUACUCAAGGAUGAGUAGGAAUUAAGCUUGGGGAUGCUUGAUACGUCUCCAAUGUAUCUAUAUUUUUUUAUUGUUCCAUGUUGUUAUAUUAUCAUCCUAGGAUACUUUUUGGGUCCUAAUUCACCAAUUUAUAUUAUUUUUUAGUGCAAACAUAUUAACCAAGUGCCCAGUGCCACUUGAUGUUUUCUUCGUGUUUUUUGUUUUUCAGGUUUUCAAUACCAAUCGAAGUCCAAUUACCAUGAAACUUUUUUAUGAUUUUUUCUAGAUCAAACUAAGACCUCGAAGCUUCGGGAGGAAACCUGAAGCCACACGUGGGGUCCCAAGGCAACAGGGCGCGACGAGGGGGUGGCCGCGCCCUGAUGCCUUGGCACGCCCCUGUGACCCCACUUACCUCGUUCUCUAGCCUAUAAAUUCCCAAAUAUUCCAAAAAAAACCCUAAAUAUUAUUGCCAAAUAAUUUUUACGCUACCGCAAGUCUGUGUUCCAUGGUGACCCCAUCUGGAGCUCAAUUCCAGCAGCCUGCUCGAGGGGGAUCGAUCACGGAGGGCCUCAUCAUCAUCCUUGGUGCCCUUGUAAUGAUGUGUGAGUAGUUCGCCACAGACCUAUGGGUACGCAGUUCGUAUCUAGAUGGCUAUUUAUCUUCUUGAUCUUCAAUACAAUGAUCAUCGCAUCUUCGAUUUUAUCUAUUUGAUGUAAUUCAAUUGUAUGGUGUGUUUCUGAUUUUUAUGAUUCUUAUUUGCAUGAUCAUCAUAGCUUCAUAAAUCUAUCUGAUCUAUAGAAUUGCUUUGGCCAAGUAGUUUGAUAUUUCUUCAAUGGUAGGUGUGCUUUGUAGUGGGUUCAACCUGGCGAGUUUCUAUAACACAAUGACUCAAGGGGACAAGUUGCGUCUUUGUGUUUCUUCCACUAAGGAUAAAACGAUGGGGUUUAUUCAUAUUGGUUAAGUUUACUUUGUCUACAUCAUGUCAUUGUUCUCCAAGCAUUACUCGGUUUCACUUAAUACUCUAGAUGCAUGUUGGAUAGAAGUCGAUGGGUGGAGUAAUAGUAGUAGGUGCACGCAAGAGUCUUCCUGUUUUCUUAUCGACGUGAUGACUAUAUAUACAUCAUCAUUUCCAUGAAAGUCGCAUAACUAUGCGCUAUUCUAUCAAUUGCCCAACAGUAAUCUGUUUACCCACCAUAUGUUGCUUUAAUCAUAGAUGCCACUCAAGAACAUUAUGGCCCCCACGUAUAUUCCCUUAUAUAUUCAGAAAACUUAUAAUUUCCUUGUUGUUAUUAUUUUUAUUUUAUUUUAUUUUGCAAGUCACAACUAUCUACACACCUCAUUCGCUUGCAAAUAACGAGAUCAAGGGGAUUGACAACCCUCUUGCCCGUGUUGGGUGCAAGUUGUUUGCUCUUUUGUGUGCAGCUGUUGAAGAUGGUUGAGGACUAAUAUUCCUAUUGGUUUGAUAAACCUUGGUUUCCUAAUCGAGGGAAAUACUUACCCGCAUUUUGCUGCGAUAACACGUUCCUCUUCACGGAAAACCCAACACAGAUCACAGUAUCACGAAGGAUUUGUGGCACCGUUGCCGGGGAAUAUCAUCACUAGUUAUGAAGUAACUUCAUAGAAAUUAGCAUUCACUUGUUCUUAUUUUUAUUGUAUAUUAUAUUUUCCUUUCUUAAAAAAAUCAAAAAUACAAAUAUUUAUCUUUGCUUGUUACUGCUUUGCUUGCUUAGCUUGUAACGUUUGCUUGAAAGUUGCUACCAUGUCUAAGUUUGAAAUUAGUGAUGCAUCUUCCUCUAGUGCGGAAGCCCUUGAUUUUCCAACUUCACCUUGCAAUGAGAAUUCUAAAAGAAAUUUUGAUAAAGUUGCUAAUAAAAAACUUGAAAAUCUUCGAGAUAAUGAUCCUUCUAAGGUGGAACCUAUUCUGCAAACUAAGAAACUCCGCAUAGGUAGUGGAAAUAUUAUUGGAAAGAGUGUGAUUCAAGUUUUUUUCACUUGUGUGGGAUAACUACCAUUGAUAGGAUGUUCUAUUAUUGAUAUAACUACAAGUUAUGUGGAUGCUAUAUCUUUGCUUAUAGUACAAUUGGAAAGAAAAUUUGUGCACAUGCAUCAUUUCAUACAAUGGAUGUUUCUAGAAUUCUCUAAUAUCCAUGAAGCUUCCACCAAAUAUCUAGCUACUAUACUUCUUUGUCAAGAAUUUAGUAAUAUCAUGCAAGAAGAUAGAGAUGUAUUUUCUCAUUAUAGGGUUAAAAGUGAGUGCCCACCCAUAGAGGGGAUUCUUUAUGUGAUGGAAGAAAUAAGAAAACUAAGCUCCACAAACUAUGUUGCUUAUGAUGAGAAUCUUAGAAAGAAGGUUCCACUUAAUGUCUUAGUUGAUAAGAUCUCUAAACACAAUCAUAAAUUUUCAAUACAAAAACAUGGAUUUAGUUAUGAGUUUCAAAUAAAAUUAAGAAAAUACCUGUAUCGGAACUUAUACAAUGAGGAGCUAACUAUCACUUAUGAAAAACCUAAAGAAGAGCCUCAUGUUCCUCCCGAGGUAGAUCUCGCAGAUCCUUUUAUUGUGAUAUUUAUUCCUUUAAAUUAUUUUUUAUUACCAAUCAGAAAACUUUCUGCUGAAAGGAAGAAAUAUUAUUAUAGCAUGAUGGCUCAUUCUCGAAAGGAUGACAACACCUGAUCAUAUGCAUUAUGCCUAGCUAGGUGCAUAAAACAAUAACGCUUGUUGGGAGGCAUCCCAAUAGUUAUCUUAAUUUUUGUCUUUUUUAAUUUAUAAUUUUGUGUUGAUAUGAUUAUGGCCUCUGUAAUUAUUGUGUUUUUAUUUUUUGAAUUAGUUUUUGUGCCAAGUUAAACCUUUUGGAUGAUUUGUAUGAUGAGUAUAAUUGAUACGGUGCAAAAACAGAAGCUUUGACAUCCAAUGCAGAAUUUCUCUCAUUUUACUGGAACGUAUUUUUAAGAAGAAUUAUUUACACAGUAUUUCUGUAUAAAUUACCCAGCUCUUCACAAUAUUUCUGAAUUUUUGGAGUUACAGAAUUAUAGGUUCAUUACAGAUUAAUACACACUGUUCUCCUUUAGACAAAUUCUGUUUUUUGCUUGCAUAGUUUGCUUGUUUUGAUUAUGUUAUGGAUUGUAUCGGGGGUUAUAAGCCAUGGACAAGUUAUAAUACAGUACCUAUUAUGCAAUAAAUAAAUAAGAAUAAAUAUACAACAGUGCCUAAGUAUUUUUUAUGUUGCUUAUACUAACGGGUCUCACGAAGUUUUGUUGACUUUUGUGUGAUUGAAGUUUUCAAGUUUUGGGUGUUAUCGCGAUGGACAAUGGAAUAAGGAGCAUCAAGAGCCUAAGCUUGUGCAUACCCAAGGCACCCCAAGGUAAUAUUCUAUGAAGACUCAAGCGCCUAAGCUUGGGUAUGCCCCGAAAGGCAUCCCCUCUUUCGUCUCAAUUCAUCGGUAUUUCACUUGAAGCUACAUUUUUAUUUAUCACAUGAUAUGAGUUUUGCUUGGAGCGUUGUUCGUUUUAGUUUGAUUUUUAUUUUUAUUUUGCCACAAUCAUGUUUUGUUGGACACACAAACCUGAGAGAGAGAGAGAGACAUGCAUCAUGAUUUGUUAGAAUACUCUUUAUGCUUCACUUAUAUCUUUUGAGCUAAAUAGUUGCUCUAGUUCUUCACUUAUAUCUUUUUGAGCACGGUGGCAUAUAGAUUUUAUAGAAAUAUUUGAACUAUCGUUCCUCACUUAUAUUUGUUUGAGAGUUAAUAAACAGUAGUGGUAAUUUUCAUGGGUCAUAAAGAAAGUCCAAAAAUAAUAAGUAUUCAAUGUAUGAUAAUCAAAACCAUCAUGUGGUACAUAAAGAGAAAUUGUGGGUUAAUGAUAUUGAUAUGGUAAUAUAGAAAAGGUGUGAGUACAUAAUUGUUGAUUCAUAAAAGUAGCGGUACUACUAGGUGUUAAUUCCUUGUUUCUCUGAAUAAUAAAAAGGCAUGGCGGGGAUGUGUGAGAAUUUUCUUCGUUGUUGAAAUCCUAGUGUUGUUUCGAGUCGGAGUCGCACGAUGGUUAACUCCUCCCAACGAGAGGCAUGUAGGUAGUGCUUUGAUUUCUAAUGAAACUAAGAAAACUUUCCAAUAAGUAUAAGAGUUCUUCAUGAUUAAUGUGAAACCAUGGACAUACACAAUCUCAUCUCCUUAUAUUUUGCUAGCCUCUUCGGUACCGUGCAUUGCCCAUUCUCACCUUGAGGAUCGGUGCGAACUUCGCUGGUGCAUCCAAACCCCGUGGCAUGAUAUGCUCUGUCACACAUAAACCUUUCUUUAUCUUCCUAAAAACAGCCACCAUACCUACCUAUCAUGGAAUUUCUAUAGCCAUUUUGAGAUAUAUUGCCAGGAAAAUUCCACCGUUACAUCAUAUGACUAGUUCAUUCAUCAUGAUAUUUGUUUUGCAUGAUCAUAUGGAGCUAACAUAGCAUUUGUGAAAAAGCCGCCAUUCAUUAUAUUGUUGAUACAUGUCACGCUAGAUCAUUGCACAUCCUGGUACAUGGCCAGAGGCAUUCAUAUUGAGUCAUAGUUCUUCAUAUCGAGCUUUCAUGAGUUGUAAGUAAAUAAAAGUGUGAUGAUCAUCAUUAUUAGAGUAUUGUCCAAGUGAGGAAAGUAUGAUGGAUACUAUGAUGCCCACACAAGUCGGGAAGAGACUCUGGACAAAAAAUAAAAAUGGGCGAGGACAACUGAGCCCACCAUAAAAAAUGAAUGAGAUAAAAAAAGAGAAGGGACUUUUUUACUAUCCUUUACCACACUUGUGCCUCAAAAUGGCACCAUGUUACUCAUAUAGAAAGUUUCGUGAUAUGUAAUUUUCAUAUGCUAGUGGGAAUCAUACUAUAAUUGUUAUAAACUUGGCUUGCAUAUUCCAAUGACGGGCUUCCUCAAAAGCCUGAGGUCUUCAUGAGCAAACAAGUUGGAUGAACACCCCACUUAGCUUCAUCUGAGCUUUCAUACACUUAUAGCUCUAGUGCAUCAUUUGCAUGGCAAUCCCUACUCCUUGCAUUGACAUCUAUCAAUGGGGAUCUCCAUAGUCCAUUGGUACACCUAGUUCAUGUGAGACUAUCUUCUCCACUUUUACCCCUUUGAUACCUACCACCCUAAUCUAUUCCACCUUAUGUUAUGUCCAUGGCUCAUGCUCAUGUAUUGUCUGCAGAAUAAAAGUUCAUUCACUUUGAAAAAGUAUGAUCCAAUUGCCUAACUUGGACAUCGUGGUGCUUAACAUUUGUAUAAAUGUGGUGAAGACGGAGCCAUGCUUUGCCUUUUGUGUGCGGCCUCUAGAGACGGUUGAGGAUUGAUAUUCCUUUUGGUUCAAUAAACCUUGGUUUCUUAAUUGAGGGAAAUAUUUAACCGCAUUAUGCUGCGAUAACGCGUUCUGCUUCACGAAAGACCCAACGCAGAUCAAAAGUAUCAUACCUUUUACAGAAAUUAUAUGCUCAAGUAUGAUGCCUUCAUUCAUCAUAAAGUGGCAUAUGCUCUCAGUUCAAGACAAGGUUCAUUUCUUCACAUCUCUACAGAACUCAUUCAAGGUUGCUCAAAAAAUCAUCAAAAUAAGUCUCAUAAACAAUAAAAAUCAUCCAUGAAGACCUCAACAAUCUUUUCACAGAAGUCGGAGAAUAUAGCUUUCAUACACCUUUGAAAGGUGGCGGGUGCAUUGCAUAAAUCAAAAGGCAUACAUCUAUAAGCGUAAGUUCCAAAAGGGCAAGUGAAAGUAGUUUUCUCUUGGUCCUCCUUUGACAUAGGUAUUUAAGAAAAACCAGAAUAUCCAUCAAGAAAACAAAAAUGUGUGUGAUUAGAUAAUAUUUUUAACAUUUGAUCAAUAAAAGGCUAGGGGUAAUGAUCUUUUCUAUUAUCUUUGUUCAAUUUCCUGAAAUCAAUUACCGUCUUAUAACUAGUUACGAUUCCUUGUGGGAUAAGUUCAUUUUUAUCAUUAGGACCAACAGUUAUACCUCCUUUCUUAGGAACACAAUGAACAAGACUUACACAUCUACUAUGCACAAUAGGAUAAAUUGCAUAUGCCUCCAAAAUCUUUAAUAUUUCAGUUCUUACCACUUCCUUCAUCUUAGGGUUUAAGCGGUAUUGGUGAUCAAUGACAGAUUUAGCAUCUGGUUCCAUAUUAAUCUUGUGCUGACAUAGAGUGGGAUGAAUGUCCUUAAGAUCAUCAAGAGUAUAUCCAAUAGCAGCUCAAUGCUUCCUCACAGUUUUAGUAAUCUCUUCUCUUCAUGCUCUGAAAGGUUAGCACUAAUAAUAACAUGAUAAAUCUUCUUUUCAUCAAGAUAUGCAUAUUUCAAGGUAUCAGGUAAUUUCUUCAGCUCAAACACGGGAUGUCCCGUAAGUGGAGAAGGAUCCCCUAAAAUAUCAAUCACCAAGUUGUGUUUAAGAAUAGGUGUUUGUCUAUAAAAUAUUUCAUCUAUUUCAUUUCUCUCAUUCAGAUGCAUAUCAUUCUCAUGGUCUAGCAAGUAUUGCUCUAAAGGAUCAUUAGGAAGCACAAUAAUAGAAGCAGGACCAAUAAUUUCAUCUUUGCUAGAUAACGCUUCCUCAUGAGGUCAUCUACUAAACUUGGAGAAAUUAAAAUCUUGAGACACAUCACCAAAGCUUACUUUAACCUUCUGAGUAACGCAAUUAAUUUCACCAUUAACUAUAUUCAAGAAAGAUUUACCAAAUAUAAUGGGACAAAAGCUAUCUUGGUGUGAACCAAGUACUAAUAAAUCAGUAGGUACUUAAUUUUUCCACACAAUACUUCAACAUCUCUAACAAUCCCAAGUGGUGAAAUGGUGUCUCUAUUUGCAAGUUUAAUAAUGACAUCUAUAUCUUCAAUUCCAAAGGGUGCUAUAUCAUUCAUAAUUUCCUGAUACACGAUAAAUGUAUAGCACUAACACUAGCACCAUGUCACACAAGCCAUGGUAACAAUGAUAUCCAAUAUUAACAGAAACAACACGCGUGCCAACAACUGGUUUAUUUUUAUCUAGCUCAUCUUGUUUGUUUCUAAUAGGUUUUGCAAUUCUAGCAGCUUCGUCAUAGAAGUAAAUGGCAUGGCCAUCAAUAUUAUCAGCUAGGACAUCUUUAACCAUAGCAAUAUUAGGUUCUACUUUUAUUUGUUCAGAAGUCUUAGGUGUCCUAAUAUUACUUUUAUUAACCACAGUUGAAGCCUUGGCAUGUUCCUUAAUCCUAACAGGAAAAUGUGCUUUCUCAAUGUAAGCAGCAGAAACAACUACAUCAACAUGGCUAACACUUAUUUCUUCCUUAACCUCAAUGGGUUCCUCUAACAAUUAUUCAAUGGGUGGAUGAAAUUUAAACCACUUCUCCUUACGAAGAUCAACAUGAGUAACAUUCACAUAAAUAAGCUACUAUUUCAAAGUCGAGCUUAUAUUUAUUGCUAAACUUAUGAAAAGCAUCAGUUUCCAUAAAAGAUUCAACAUGGUCAAACUCAAGCUUUACACCUAACUCUUUACCUGUGUCAAGUUCCCAAUAUUCAGAGUUGCAUUUAAUUAUUUCCAAAAGAUACCAAUUGAACUCGAUAGUUCUCUCUGUGUAGGAACCAGUAGGAGAAAAAUCGAGUAUUAAUUGAUCAUCAUGAGAAAGUCGAGCAUAAAAGUUUUGUAUAACCAUUUAUCUUGAGAGUCCUUGGUUGGGGCAAGUUUGCAUCAUAUAUUUAAGCCUCCCCCAAGCUUGAGCGAUGCUUUCACCUUCAAGAGCCCAGAUAUUAUAUAUAUAGUUCCGAUCACGAUGAACUAGAUGCAUUAGAUAGAACUUCUCAUUAAAUUCCAGCUUCAAGCGAUUCCAGUCCCAUGAUCCAAUGUCAUCCAUUAGCCUGUACCACAUCAAUGAUUUUCCCUCCAAAUAUAAAGGUAAUACUUUCUUAUUAACUUUUUCUUGAGGCAAAAAUGCAAGCUUAAAUAAUCCACAAACCUCAACAACAUAUAUCAGGUGAUAAUCGGGAUGAGUUGUACCAUCAUAAGGACUAGCUAUAAGUUUCUCUAGCAUACCCAAAGGAAUAUCAUAAUAAAUAUUUUCAGUAGGUUGAGGAGCAACCUUCUCAACUUCCAUUCGGGGUGAAGAUGCUCCGAAUAAGCCACUCAGAGGGUGACCGUCCAUAGUAACAAGCAACAGUAAAUUUCAGCACGUACUGAAAAUAUUUCCUCACCAAUUUUCACUUACCGAAGACGCUUCAGUCCCCAGCAACGGUGCCAGAAAAGAGUCUUGAUGACCCACAAGUGUAGGGGAUAAAUCUUAGUUCGUUCGAUAAGUAAGAGUGUCGACCCCAACGAAGAGCAGAAGGAAAUGGUAAGAGGUUCCAAUCCCAUGAUCCAAUAACAUCCAAUAGCUUAUAGCACAUCAAUGAUUUUCCCUCCAAAGAUAAAGGGAAAACCUUCUUCUUGACCUUGUCCUCAAAUAAACCUUCAAUCUCAAAUAAUCCACAAAUCUCAUCUACAUAUAUCAAGUGGUAAUUAGGAUGAGUUGUACCAUCUCCUGCAUAAGGAUUAGCUAGCAGGUUCUCUAACAUACCCGAAGGAAUCUCACAAUAAAUAUUUUAGAAAGUUUAGUAGGUUGUAGAAUGGAUUUUGCCACUUUCGUUCGAGGCAAAUAUACCCUUAACAAACCACUCAAAGGAUGAUUAUCCAUAGUAACCACCAACAGUAAAUUUUAGCAAAUGCCAAAAAUGUUUCUUACCAACCACUUACCAAAGGCACUCACUCCCCAGCAAUGGCGCCAGAAAAGAGUCUUGAUGACCCAUAGGGAUAGGGGAUCAAUUGUAGUCCUUUUUAUAAGUAAGAGUGUCGAACCCAACGAGGAGCAGAAGGAAAUGAUAGGUAGUUUUCAACAAGGUAUUCUCUGCAAGUGCUCUGAGUAACGGUGAUAGAUAGUUUUGUAGAAAGAUAAUUCAUAACAAGUGAUAAGUAACAAUAGUAUUAAGUGUGCAGCAAGAUAGCCCAAUCCUUUUUAUAGCAUAGGACAUGCAUGAGAGUUCUCUUAUAUGAAGCAAGCACUCCCGAGGACACAUGGGAAUUUCUGUCUAGUCAUGUUCACAUGCUGAGUUGAUUCGCGUUCGUUACUUUGAUAAUUUGAUAUGUGGGUGGACCGGUGCUAAGGUGUUAUUCUUAUUUGAACAAGCAACCCACUUAUGAUAAACCCCUCUCGAAAGCAUCCCCAACUACGAAAGAAGAAUUAAGAUAAGUCUACGCAUAGCAUGAAACGUGUGGAUCCAAACCAACCCCUUAUGAAAUAACGCACAAACUAGGGUUUAAUAUUCUAUCACUUUAGCAACCCAUCAUCUACUUAUUAGUCCAUAAUACCUUCCCUUAGGACCAUAAUAUCGUGACGUGCCAUGUAGUCAACAUUCACACGACACCACUAAGAGAAGGAACAACAUGCAUAUCAUCAAAGUAUCGAAAGACUACCAACUUCACAUGAUUACUUAUAACAAUACUUAUCCCAUGUCCUCAGGAACAAAAGUAACUACUCACAGAUCAUCAACAUGUUCAAGAUCAGAGGUGUAAUAAUGAUAAUUAAGGAUCUGAACAUAAGAUCUUCCACCAAAUAAGCCAACUAGCAUCAACUACGAGAUGUAAUCAACACUACUAGUAACCCACACGUACCAAUCUGAGGUUUUGAGACACAGAUUGAGUACAAGAGAUGAACUAUGGUUUGAGAUGAGAUGGUGCUGGUGAAGAUGUUGAUGAAGAUUGAUCCUCCCACGAAGUAGGGAGCAUUGGUGAUGACAAUGGCGUUGAUCUCCUCCUCUCGAAGAGAAAUUUCCGUGGAAGAAUAUCUUUGCCAGAGAGCAAAAUGGCCUCUCCCCAGGUUUCCGCCUCAAGAUGGCGGCGCUUCACCCUAAAAGUAUCCUCCUCAUUUUUCUAGGUCAAAACACACCUUAUAGGAGAAGAGGGGAGUCAGGGCACCUACGUGGGUCCCACAAGCUAACAAGGCGCGCCAUGUUGGCUUGUGGCCAGCACGUCGCCCCCCCCCUCUGGUGUAUUUUGGGCCCAACAUUUUUUAUAUAUUCCAUAAAAAUUCUCCAUGAAGUUUCACGUCAUUUGGAGUCGAGUGAAUUUUCACCCAUUUUCUUGGUUUUCAAGUCCGGAAUUCCAAUUCCCGGUAAUUUCCCUCUUUGUGAUGUACCUUGUAAAGUGAGAGAGAAAGGCGUAAGAGUUAUCUCAUGAAGUGGAAUAAUGACCAAGAAUAACAUAAAUAUCAACAAGAAAUCAUGAUGGAAAAUUGAUGUAUCAACCCUAAGCACCAAAACUCAAAUAGCAAAAAGCCAAACAAGAACCAAGAAAGAUGAUGAUGCCAAGAAUGCACUCGUUUGAGCUCUCUAUGAAAGAUACGAUCAAGCUACUCACUCAAGUGCCCCCUUUAUAGUACGGCAAUCGAUCAUAUUCCCCGUUCUCCCAACCAACACCACGAGACUGGUAAAAUAGUAAACCUGUCGAGGACAAACCAUUACGUUGCACAUAGUCCACUUGAGCUAGAUGAUUAAGAUCUUGUCCUUGUAAAGAUGGACCACUGAUUGCGCCGACUCGAUGAAAACUAGUGGAUUGCCCCCCAUACUCCGCUAUGGGUGAGCCUUUCUUUGGUACAUCUUACAUGUCCAUUAUCAUCAUAAUGGACAGCAAGCUUCAAGCAUGAUCGCUUUGUGAUGCUCCACUUGAACUUGCACGCCACUUGAUGUCAUCCUCCAUGGAUUGUAUGAGUUCUUCUUUUCGACGCAAGCCCAUGGAAAGAUACCUAACCCCACAAAGAACACUCACAUAGACCAUGGGUUAUUACACAAAGCAUAAUGGAAAAUACUUACCAUACCAUGAGAUCACUUGACCCCACUUGGUACAUCUUCUACGAUUUGUGUGUUGGUCAACUUUAAUUAGUCUUUGUACUUACUCUUGAUCAACCUUGCAUCCAGUGGCGGAGCCAGCCUAUGAAAACACCCCGGGCAAGACUUAACUAUGACAGCGUGACCUGCCCCUGCCAAAGGAAUUAAUCCUUCUAACCAUCGAUUAACACUAGUGCUUAGUACUAGUUUCAUGGACGGGUCGCCGGGAGGUGGCUCCGCCACUGCUUGCAUCAUAUCUUCUCUCCGAUCAAUCUUCGGAUAACUCCUUGAAUAGCACCUUGGUCAACACAUAAUCUUCUUCUAAUAACCUUGAGACCAAUAAAUGGCUUCAAGCAAGAUCUAUGAACAAACCCUCCAAAUAUAACUCAUGGCAAACACUAGUCCAUAGGGAUUGUCAUCAAUUACCAAAACCAAACAUGGGGGCACCAUGUUCUUUCGCUAAUACAAUAAGUCAAUGCUUUGCAUGUCAAGAAUAAGAUUUAAAUAAAGCGCCCACAUAACACUAACACUUCAAAUUGCAGUUCCCAAGCAAAAAUACGAAAGGGGAGUACAAUUUGUACAUGAAAAAAUAAUAUCAUUGGAAACUACAUUCAAAUAUGAAUCUAACAAUAUAAUUUUAGGUGGCUUGCAUUAACAUAUUGCUAGUCAAAUAUAUGGUCAAACUUCCCCGACAAGAUAGGGACUAAUAUACCCAGACUGAGCAAAACCCUAACUCUUGCCACCACCCACCAUGUACACUUAUGAUUGCAGUUCCCCGGGAAUGAAACAAUAGAAUUGCUACCGCCGCCUACACUGGUGAUUGCAGUUCCUGAAGAGUGGAACAACAUCACUGUUGGUGUUGCCAUCCACUACCCUCCUACAUACAGAUCCCCAUUAUAAUUAAGGAGCCCUCUGCUCUCCAUAUAUUCCAUCGUCUUCUUCUCCCACUGCCCCAACCCCCACAAACUGAGAACCGCCACAUCCAACUCUGCAUGAGAAGAAAUUCCAAUGGCGAUCCGUGGGGUGAGCCUUGAUCUGGACUUUGGCAUGGAGUUCACCUUUAAGUUUGCCAUGCAGGCCUAUUGCAACAACAUGGUGAAAGUGAUGUACAUGAACGAUCUAGACAUGGUGAAGUGUUGCCUCACCAAGUUCAAGCAAGACCUACAGGAGGAGAAGCACAAGGACGCGGGACUAGACCUUGUGCCUAUCCAUCCGGAUGCUGACGGGGACCAACGGAUUGCCACCGCCAAGGUAUGUGGGACCAUGCUCUCGUCUACAACUACUGUAAGGCCAUGAGGACUUGUGAAGAGUUCGCCAAUUUCAUCUGUAUUGUCGAAUGCACCUUUGCUGCGGUGGAGAAAAGGAAGAAAGCGACGGUGCUUCAUAAUUCGUCCAUCUUGUGGGAGAAGCUCAUAGACAUCCAAGAGUUCAUCGACAACGUGAAGGACAAGGACUCCGUGAUUGACCUCUUUGUGUCCAUUAUCGACCCAUGUUUGACCAACGUGAAAGAAGAUGUUGAUACAAAGGACCUUAACACGUGGGAGGUACCUCUAAAUUUAGCCUACAUCGCCUACGCGGCCAAGGACGCAUAUGCAUGCUAUGAAAUGUACAGGCGGAUCUUGGACAUGAGGGUGUGUCUCCUUCCCGAGGGGUAAUACAGCCACAACACCAUGAUCAAGCAAUGCGAGGAAGAUCUAGAUGGUGUACUUUGUGUGUUUAAGUACUUUAUCAUCUCACAAUCCCAUGCGUUAGCCUUUCAUCCUUGAUCUUUUGUGUAAGAACUCAUGAACCUAUUUGCUUAUCUAUGUAGUAGUACUAGUUCACCGGGUUGUCAUGUAUCGUACUUUUUUUUUUGAGGUCGAAUAGGUACCAACGGGGUUGUCUCCUGCCCAGGCUAGUUUUUUUUCUUAGGACAUCCGCAGCCCACAACAUGUUGAUAGGGAUCUAGAAGGUUUAUCUUUAAAAAGGUUUAUCAAUUUUUCCUUUGGGUGUGGUUUUCUCUAGGUUGCAUCCAGGAACGUGUUGAUUAAUUCAUUUUGCCUAGAUUAUUAGCGAAUUUCACUCAGGGUGGUCAUCUUUUAUCACGAAUGAUUAGAACAAAGUUAGGAUGCACCUUGCUUUAGUUAAGUUUGCUACCUAAAGUGUGAUCAUGUGGCAGCCAUUAGAUUGAAAGCCAACGACUAGUGUGCUUUCAAUCUCCUUUCUCCCAACAUAUUCCCCUUGUCUGGUGGACCCAAUAUAUUUCGUAGACAAACAUCUGAAACUGAGCAACUAUCCAUUUGUAUUACUUCUUUUAGCAAAUUUUUGUCCUUUAUAAUGUUUAAACAACUUUUAUUUUUGUAUAUACGUCGAGUAGGUAUCAACUCCCACAAGCAUGCCCAUCCCAAGUUAAUUUAUUGACAGAGCAUGUCCAACCCAGCUUCUAUUUUUGUUUUCUGAGAGAAAGAUCCACGGAGUUUUAUUCUCCUGAGAGGAAUGUGCGGCUCAAAUAUACUAUUUUUUUCAAUCAGCACAACUCCAAAUCUUUCGACAAGAGAGAUGUAUUCGCUCUGUUUUUAUUUACUACAAUGUGGGCUAAUAAGUCGAAGUCUAUGUAAUGCAUUGUCAACUUGAUCAACAAAAGAUUCCGUUGGAUGUAAUCCAACGGCCGACAUGCUACCUUAAUAUCUUGUCGUCUUCCUCCACCGCUGGCGGACCACAUUCUCCAGCCUCCCGAGAAACCGGCGCUGCUUCGCGUGCCUCGCUGCAAUGCGCUACUUCACCGUCCGCCAGGCCAUCUCUCCACCAGAUCCACCCCUCGUGACUGCAGCCCCAUCCUGCAACUGAACCAGUCGACCCUCGUACUCCACUCCGUCUGGGAUUCAAUUGCCGCAUUCUCCCCAUCUCUGGGUCAUUCCUGUACGGGAAUCGUCAUCGUCCACCUCCUUCUUGCUCUCGGUGCUGCAUAGUCAAAGUGAUCAAGGAACGAGAGCCGUUGGAAGAGGUUUCUACAUGGGUAGGCUGACUGUAGGGACCCACCAGGUCCAUGGUCGCACGCGCCCCGAUGCCCUCUUUGUUGACAACUUUCGCCGACGCAUUCGAAUGGUAAAAAUAUUUUCGAUCGUCUCUAUCAUGACAUCUUGCCUUUGAUGAGUGUACUAUUUGAUUAUUUUUAAUUAUGACUAGUGUUGCAUUAGAACAUUUUAACUUUUUUAAACUAUAUAUGCGGUUAUUUGCACGUGCAAUUUAGAAAAAAUAGGAUCAAACAUAUGCAAUUAUUUUUUGGAUGGCCGGUUUCUGCAUCCGUAUUCGUAGACUGAUUCCACUCCGUGUGGAUGGAUAUGAGAACAUAUUUCUGGAUCAGUGUUAAAAAUGCCCUCACAUUUCUUUAUAAGAACCUACUCCGUGAAUAUUAGAGGCGGUUUCAUUUAUUAAGCGUUCAAGUUAGAUUCAAGAAAGCCCGCGUUAGGUUAUGCAAGGUGGCUGAAAAUAAUUCGUGAAAAAAGGUGCAUCCGUGGACCAAAUAUAUUGCUCUGUUUUUUGUACUGCUAGUAUUCAUACGGAGGAGAAUAUUGUUUACCCACACACGACUGCCUCUCGUUUGUCGCCUAUAUAGUUCCUCCGUCCUACCAAUUACUCCGUAUGUUGUUGAGUAAUUUCAGUAUAUGGUACCAAGGGAGCCAGGACACAUCACGAUUACACGAACUAGGCGCCAGGUAUGUGAUCCCUUCAGGAUGCCCUGUGUACUCCAUUCCACCGGUCCUCCAACUAAUAAAACAACAAAAACAACAUGAAACCAGUUCAUCACCCAAUCCUGCAAUUCAAGAACAAGAACAAACGGGAACACCAAAAAAGAACUGGAGAAAAUUGUGACAAAGACGGGAGCAUUUCAUUUCGGUACAAGGUGAAGGACAAGCACAAGCAAAUGUCCCCCACCCAGUACAUUUAAAAUUGACGCUAACCUCAUCAUUACCUCUACGACAUCGCCUUCGAUCAUGCAAACAUGUACAAUACAAUGCGAGUUUCUUGCAAGCUGUGUGUGGGCCAUAUUUUGAAAUUGCCACUAACCUUCUCAGCAUUCCCUUUGGGUUAUCGCCUGUGUCAUGCAAAUACUUACGAGUUUCCUAGCCCUUCGACGGUAGAACAUUUUCUUAUGACGCUCGAAGAAAUGUGGGAUAAGGACAUACGCAUACUCCAUGGAUCCACUUCUUAUGAACCAUUUUUAGGGUUAGAUAUACGCCACUACAGAGUUCACGGUCUUGAGAAAUACCGUCGACGUUCUGAAAAUGGGGAUACCCACACCUGCCUGCGUGCGAGUCAGAGCUAGCCCACUUCAUCGAUCAAAACCAACGGGCCCGACACCACUCAAGGCAAGGCCUUCGCGGGGCCCAAGCCUCGCGGGGAGGAGCAACUUCAAGACCCGGAGCGGCAGAGAUUUCGAGGCAAGACCCAGCCUCGGGAGUCAAGGAUGAUGCAGGGGAAGGACAGGCGAGCAGCGGAUUGCAGGAUGUACAGUUUCCCCUUUCGUGCAAAGGAGGGAAGGACGUACGCGGGUUCUGAAGGCAUCUCCCAAAGGUUUCCAUUCUGGUGCAACAAGGCCAUGGCCGCCCGCCGGCAGGACGGACGUCACCCCUGGACCUAUCCCUGCUGCGCUGACAGCCACUUUUGCAGGCGAAGACCACAUUUGGGGCAGGGGAGCAUGUUUCCGUGUUCCCCUUCAAAAUUGGCCAUUGUGGGAUCCCUUCCCGCCGAAACGAUAAGGGAAGAGGACCGGGGCCACCACUAUAUAUAGAGGGUAGGUUACUUCAUAGAGGGAGGAGAUCCAUUCAUUCGCACACCCACACCACACGAAGGCCACCCAGCCUCCGGAGGCUCCCGAACACUGUACUAGCUCAUCCACCAACCUCCACGAGAGGCAAUCCACCAAAGCAGGAGUAGGAUAUUACGCUUCCCAGCGGCCCGAACCUGGGUAAACUGCUGUGCUAUGUGUCCUUCUCACCAUCGAGUGAGUUCUUUGCCAUCCCCGACGAGUAGCGAGCUAGGUGAGGCGAGGCCGCGAGAGAUCUUUGUAUACGCCCCUCAGUUCGAAUCUUUAGGGUUUUGCGGAGCCCGAAAUCCGACAUUUAGCGCGCCAUGUAGGGGGUGUGUCAAGGUCUCUCCCAGGGCUCGGCUCACUGAAGCUGGUCACACUCAUGGUAGGGGGACGGCGAGUCCGCGCGGAGAGCCGGGCCACACGCGUGGCACGACCGGCGCAGGCGGGCCGGAACGCCCUGCAACGCGACGUUCACGUCAGACGGGCUUCCAACGACCGUCGGGGGCUACCGCCUUCACCAACCACGCAGCAUCCCCCAGUCGCCCCGACCCUUCCACGCGUCCAGGUUGUUCCACCCCCUCUCGAGUCUGUCAGCACCCGACGCACAGACAUGUAGCGCUCUUGGUGGUGCAUGAGCUCACACGCCGACACGCCGCCCGUGGCGACCCCAUCGGCGGGCGCAGGCGCGACUUCGCCGGCGAGACCCAAGCGCGCCCCCAUGGGACCACGCUCGUCAGCCCGCACCGCCAGGGGCUACAACUGGGGAACCGUGGGGGCGCGCCUCAUACACCCGCCUAGGCAUGUCCUCGCUUGGGUCCGGCGGGAGCUCCUGGAGGCAUGGGACUUGAUCGCGCUGGGGAGGCGUCGUCCAGCGUCCCCGACACGCUUCAAGAAACGAGGAGGGAGUACAGGAGGCCUGACUACAUCAACCCCUGGAGGCACGGACAGUUCGACGAUGACCGCACCAGCACACGUCCGGGCUACGGAGGAAGCAGCGCGGACCAUCAUCGCGGUAGGAGGCAUGCACACGACCCCGCAGACAGACCCCGCGCAAACAUGUAUGAACAGCACCGAGGGGGUGGCCCGCGGGGGUGGCUUCGCGGGGACGCCCAGCGCGGGUGUCCUUGCGGAGCACACCUGCUGGUCGGGAGCUGCUUCGGGAAAACGUCUGGGUCUGGGGACAGGGGACCCCUCGCCUCGGACAGGGUGGAUGCACCCUUGUGACCCAGCCGAGAGGCCCCAGCCUGGGAACGGAGGGUGGAGCACACGCCCAUGUUCCCGGGCCAGACGAUCGUAACCUGGGGGUCGGGGUGCUAUAUUCGCCCUGCCUCUGGGGCGUUGAUACGUAUCCAUCGUAUCUACUUUUCCAAACUCUUUUGCCAUUGUUUUGGACUCUAAUUUGCAUGAUUUGAAUGGAACUAACCCGGACUGACGGUGUUUUCAGCAGAAUUGCCUUGGUGUUGUUUUUGCGCAGAAAUGAAAGUUCUCGGAACGUCCUGAAAAUUUACGGAGAAUAUUUCUAGAAAAUAUGAAAAAUACCUGCGCAAAGAUCCACCGGAGGGGGUGAGCCAGUGGGCCACAAGCCCUAUGGCCGCGGCCACCCCCCCCCCACGGGCCACGGCGUCUGGGCUUAUGGGGGCCAUGUGGCUCUGCCGCCGCCAAACUCAGCUCCAUUUAUUCCCUUUCGUCCCGAAAAAAAUCAAGAGAGAAGAUUUCAUCGCGUUUGCGACACGGAGGCGCCGCCACAUCCUGUUCUUCAUCUGGAGGGCAGAUCUGGAGUCUGUUUUGGGCUCCGGAUCAAGGAGAUCGUCGCCAUCGUCAUCAUCAACCUUCCUCCCUCUCCAAUUCCAUGAAGCUCUUCAUCGUUCGUGAGUAAUCUAUUCGUAGGCUCGCUGGGCGGUGAUGAGUAGGAUGAGAUAUAUCAUGUAAUCGAGUAAGUUUUGAUGGGGAUUGAUCCCUAGUAUGCACUAUGUUCUGAGAUUGAUGUUGCUACUACUUUGCCAUGCUUAAUGCUUGUCACUAGGGCCCGAGUGCCAUGAUUUCAGAUCUGAAAUUAUUAUGUUGUCACCAAUAUAUGUGUGUUUUAGAUCCGAUCUUGCAAGUUGUAGUUACCUAGUAUGUGUUAUGAUCCGGCAACCCCGGAGUGACAAUAACCUGAACCACUCCUAGUGAUGACCAUAGUUUGAGGAGUUCAUGUGUUCACCAAAUGCUAAUGCGUUGGUCCGAUUCUUUAUUAAAAGCAAAACCUUAAUAUCCCGUAGUAUCCAUUUGGACCCCGCUGCCAUGGGAGGGAUGGACAAUAGAUGUCAUACAAUUUCUUUUCCCUGAGUACGUAUGACUACACACGGAAUGCAUGCCUACAUCACAUUGAUGAACGGGAGCUAGCCACAUAUAUCUCCGUGUCAUAACUGUUGCAUGAUGAAUGUCAUCCAACAAAUCACCGAUCCAUUGCCUACGAGUUUGUCCCACUUCUGUUGUUACUUGUUUCGCUCUGCUGCUGUUACUACUGUUGCUGCUGCUGUUACUUGUUGCUACUGUUACUUGCUCUGCUGCUACUGUUGUCACUACUGUUGCUACUACUGUCACUUGCUACUGCUGUGACUUGCUACUGCUGCUAGUUGCUACUGUAGUCACUACUGUUGUUCCUUGCCACUGUUGUUACUCGUUACACUACUGCUACCUGCUACAAUACUUUUCUGGCGCCAUUGAUACAACCGUUAGGAAUAGUCUGCCUCGUCAACAGAUCGUUUCUCGCACCGUUGCUAUCGUACUACUUUGCUACUGAUACUUUGCUUGCAGAUACUAAUCUUUCAGGUGUGGUUGAAUCAAACACAUUCAGCUGCUAAUACUUGAGAAUAUUCUUUCACUUCCCGUCGCGCGAACCAACAAAUUUGGGUUGAAUACUCUACCCUCGAAAACUGUCGCGAUCCCACGCGCUGGUGGGCUAUUGCAAGACAAUUUCUAAUUGUUGAGAAACUUGAAGCAGCUCUUUUCUGGCUCCGUUGCCGUGGAGGCAUCAAGUCAGGAAUAGUUGCACGUCAACAGGCGUGCGACGCCCGCUUGGGGAAUGGGGAUGGAACACACGUCCAUGUCUCCAGUGCAGGCUUCGUUCGAUCGCCAGCAGGUGUUUGGGUACCCGCCAUUGCCCUCAGGAUGGGCUGGCCCGACCUGGGGGCAUGGCCCAGGGUACCAACAUGGGAACCUGGGGGGCCCAGCAAGGCAUGUUGGGGCAACACACCGGGGCUCAAGACCUAUCAUCUGGGCGAGCUCUCCGGUCAGCGAGCCCUGGGGGCUCCUCCCACGCUCGAGGGCUCGCUAAGGGUGGGUCACGCCACGCCGCUACGAGCCCGGGGACGACGAGCGGAGCACGCGCCUCAGAGGCUUGGGGCUCCCGAAGCAUCCCGGGACAUGCAUUGACCCGUGACGCCUCUGCAUUGUCCUUCAACCCUUCCGGAACCUACUUCAUCCAGUGACACUCUCACGUAAUAACGAGCCGAGACUGUAUACACCCAGGGCCCCCAAGGACGUGAAAGGGGUCCAUCCCAUGCCUAGUGGCAGCCCUACGCUCCGCGCUGGGGAGAAGACGGAGGCAAUCAACACAGUCCACCAAUGACUUCCGGAAUCAGGCGCCUAUGCCUCGGGUGUAGGGACACUCGCGAGGCCAAAGCGUCCUCGCGACCUCCCAGAUACACCCCUACCGUGACACUCUCACGUAAUAACGAGCCGAGGAUGUAUACGCCCAGGGCCCUGAGGACGUGGAGUGGUCCAUCCCAUGCCGAGUGGAAGCCAUAUACUCCGCGCUGGGGGAGAUGGAGGCGGUGAAUAGUUUGGAGUCGGACGCGGCCAUUUCUCGUUCAUUUCUUGCGCUUCAAGUUGUGACCCUCAGGGGCCACCCCUUUUGUACUUUGAGUUGUCAAAGGCUCGAAGAUCUCUUUGCUUAAUAUUUUGAAAAGAAAAGAAGGGCGGGGAUUUCUUCUCUAUGUUCUCACAUUUUACCAAAACUUGAGUUCUCGUUCUCCCUUUGUUUUGAUUGGUAUUUCGCGGUAACCUCGGGAGACCGUCGGGCCUCCCGAGGCAACCACAAGAGGGGCAGGAUUGGGGAAUCACUCGAGCGCCAAAGGGGACUCCUGAGGCGCACCUCAGGAGCCUUACAGGUCAUAAGGCCACUUGCCCUCCUUGAUGACAUCCUGGAAUUAUGGUCGGUAUCAGGGGAGGCGGCGCCCUGCCCCUUAGAUGCGCCCUUCGUGGCCAUACCUAAUGGUGGUGGGGAAAUGUGUGGGACUGGGACGUGUCGACGUAGAGCGGUUUGAGUGUCAAGGGGGACUACUGAGCAACAUGCCUCAGGAGACUUACCGGUUGCAAGGCCACUCGACCACCCAAGUGCCGCCCAUGCCGGAACCCAAAGCGUCGGGGCUUUGCCCCACGAGGAACAACCUUGGUAACGGGUUGCGCCUCGCGGCGGCACGGAAAUGUGCGGGACCAGGACCUGUAGACACAGAGUGUCGAAAGGGUCCUCAAACCGCCCCACAAGCAUGGAGGAAUCGUUGCGAACGGAGCCAUGCUUGCGGGUUAGACCAUCAGCGUCGCGACAACACGGGACUGACAGCGGCCAUGGCUAGGAGGAAAACAUCGCACACACCUCGUCCUCAAAGGACGCGUUGAAAGAUACCCUCCAGUUACAUCAAAGUUGCUAUUAAACCUAAUACAUAACCAUAUCAGGAGGACAAGGCGGUGGAUCAGGAGGACACAUCAUCGCCAGAGCUCACACCGUAGCCUUCGGGAGCGAGCCUUGUCACCAGGUCUUCCACAUGGACCUCGACCCAAUCGGCCAGGGCGGCGUGGAUCGUCUCUGGCACCGGAUCCAGCACAGUGGCGAAGUCAAAGUCUGGGUCGAGGCAAAGGAGGUGGCUGAAGAUGUCCGAGACCCCUUGGCCCAAUAGGUCACAUCUCCUCUCCUCUGCAAGCGCGUGGGCCUUCUUGGCACCCGCCUCAAGAUGCUCCAUGACAUGGAGGAAGGAGCCCAGGUACCCACCAUCAUCAGGGACCAGGGGACUUGAGACACCCUCGCCGCAGAUGUCGCUCAAAGCACGGGAGGCUCUCCCUCGAGGGAUUGGAACAUCCGGGAGUGUUCAAGUUGGAGGCCGUGAGCAUGUCUCCAACCAGGGAAGCCGCGCCUUUCACCUGUUUGUAAAGAAGAGACAGUUUACCUUCGGCAGUAGCCUGGGCUUCCAGCGCGCCUCUCGACGUCUCACUUCUUGAUCCAACCUUUUCUGGAGGGCAUUGACCUCGUUUUUCACGUGGCUGUGGCGUUUGCAGAAGCGGGACUCCUAGAGCCUCAGCUUCGCACGAUAGUCAAGAAGAAGGGAACGUUGAGCUUCCACCACCCCUUGUCGAUCUCCUCAUGAAGCUUCACCUCACCGGAGGCAAGGGAUUCCUCAGCAAGCGACACCUCGCGCUCCUUCACCUCCAGACGCUCCCGCUCUAGGCUCUGCUCCACCUCUUCCACCGCCAGCAAGUCGGUGGACGCUCGAAAGCCCACACCGGCAGGGAAGAACUCAGCGGGCGGACCCCCUCGGGUGGCCCUCAGCCGAGCCUAUUCUUCAAGAUUGGCGUUGAGGGCGCAAAGCUCCCUGUGGCGAUCCUCGGAGGCCCUGCGCCGAGAAUCAGCCUCCUGAGCCUCGGAGAGAGCAUGUUCGCGGGCUUCCAUCGCCAUGGCAAGAGACCUCUCCGCCUCCACAUGGGCGCGCUCAUGCUGCGGACGGACGAGGUUCACGACAACUUCAAGCUGACGCCACCCCGAUGCAAGGUGUCGGCGCUCGUCCUCCAGACGGACUUCAUUGUUAGCAAGCCCCGUUCCUAGACGUUGAAGCGCGUCCGCCUCGGUGAGGAGCAAGCCCCACAGCGUUGCGCACAAACCCUCAACAAACUCCAGUGGCCAAUAAGAUCUCUCUCUUUCUACACGACGAGCGGGAGAGGCGUGCGAGGAGUCUCUCAGCCAAAAUCCAUGCUCGGGGGUUGGGGCCUCACCCGCAGGCGCUUCGUUGGAAAGAAGUGCCCCGUGAGGCCCCACGUCGCCAAGCAGAAGGGGUCUGGAAGGGAGGUGCAGCAUGACCCCGGGAGGAGCCGCAGGCGAGGGGAAUGGCACUCUCUUGGGGAGCCAGAGGCCGCGGGCGAGGAAGGCCGCAGUGGGCUCAUGCGCGAGGGAAUCAGGAGGUUGGACCCCGCUGGGCGCGGGGGAAGAAACCACAAGAUGCUCAGUGAUCUCAGGGCGGAUAGCACCGACCCGCCUCCCCUGUCGUCAGAAGGGAGCCUGUAUAACAAAGGCUCAGAAGGGAGGCGCAAAAAUAAAGGAUGAAGGAGGGUGCGGGCGCUUACUCGUCUACGACGACCCACUUCUUCUUCACUGGAGCCCACCGCGUUGAGGGGCGGCCGCCCUCAGGCGACCUCCUCUUCCUGCCAACGCGGUUGGCCUGGCGAGGAUACCCGGCGGACCUUGGUUGAAGCUUGAAAGCGGGGGCGGCGACUUCCACCAUCGACCGGUCAUCACCACCAGCCCCGGCCCGUCCUGGAGCAAGAGCUGGGGUAGCGGGCGGCGAUACACCUCCCACCUCGGCCGUGGGAGGGGCAGCACGACCAGAGUUUUCGUGGGCCUGAACCCCAAGGGUCGAGCGUUGGGGAACGUUGCAUGGGAAACAAAAUAUUUCCUACGCACACGAAGACCGGUCAUGGUGAUGUUCAUCUACGAGAGGGAGUUCGGAUCCACAUACCCUUGUAGAUCGCUAAGCGAGAAGCGUUAAUAAACGCGGUUGAUGUAGUGGUACAGCUUCGUGAUUCAAAUCACCUCAUCCCACGAUCCAUUCCGAUCUAGCGCCGAACGGACGGCACCUCCGCGUUCAGCACACGUACAACUCGAUGACGAUCUCUGCCUUCUUGAUCCAGCAAGAGACACGGGGAAGUAGAUGAGUUCUCCAGCAGCGUGAUGGUGCACCGGUGAUGGUGAUGAUCUAUUCCUGCAGGGCUUCGCCCGAGCUCCGCAGAAAACCGAUCUAGAGGAAGAACUACGAAGUAGAGGUUUGAGUUGCACGUGGGAAAGUUGUGUCUCAAAAACCCUAAAACCUCUAGUAUAUAUAGGAGGAGGGGAGGGGCUAGCCUUGGGGCUCAAGGUAGCCCCAAGGGCACCAACUGAGAGGAGGAGGACUCCAACUCCAAUUCGGUUUGGGGAAGGAGGAGUCCUCCACUUCCUUCCCACCUCUCUCUUUUUCUUUGGUUUCCUUUUCCUAGCGCCAUAGCCCACUUGGGCUGGCCUCAUCAUCCCACUAAGGGCUGGUGCGCCAACCUUGGGCUAUUAGGCUCACUCCCGGGUGGGUGGGCCCCUCCCGGUGAAAACCCGUAAUCCAUUCGUCACUCCAGGUACACUACUGGUAAUGCCCGAAAUCUUUCCGGAGACCAAAUGAAACCAUCCUACAUAUCAAUCUUCAUUUCCGGACCAUUCCAGGAACCCUCGUGACGUCCAUGAUCUCAUCCGGAACUCCGAACAACCUUCGGUCACCAACACCUAUAACUCAACUAUACCGAAACGUCACCGAACUUUACGUGUGCAGACCCUGUGGGUUCGAGAACUAUGCAGACAUGACCUGAGACACUCCCCGGUCAAUAUCCAAUAACGGGACCUGCAUGUCCAUAUUGGAUCCUACAUAUUCUACGAAGAUCUUGUCGGUUGAACCUCUAUUCCAAGGAUUCAUAUAAUCAUAUACAAAAUUCCCUUUGUCCUUCGGCAUGUUACUUGCCCGAGAUUUGAUCGUCAGUAUCACUAUACCUAUUUCAAUCUCGUUACCGACAAGUCUCUUUACUCGUUCUGUAAUACAAGAUCCUGUGACUAAAACUUGACUCACAUUGCUUGCAAGGCUUAUAUGUGAUGUUGUAUUACCGAGUGGGCCCCGAGAUACCUCUCCGUCACACGGAGUGACAAAUCCCAGUCUUGAUCCAUGCUAACUCAAUGGACACCUUCGGAUAUACUUGUAGAGCACCUUUAUAGUCACCUAGUAACGUUGUGACGUUUGAUACACACAAGGUAUUCCUCCGGUGUCAGUGAGUUACAUGAUCUCACGGUCAUAGGAAUGAAUACUUGACACGCAGAAAACAAUAGCAACAAAAUGACACGAUCACAUGCUACGUUCAUAGUUUAGGUCUUGUCCAUCACAUCAUUCUCCUAAUGACGUGAUCCAGUCAUCAAGUGACAACACUUGCAUAAGGUCAGAAAACCUUAACCAUCCAUGAUCAACUGGCUAGUCAACUAGAGGCUUACUAGGGACAUUGUUUUGUCUAUAUAUCCACACAUGUAUCUAUGCUUUCAUUCAAUACAAUUAUAGCAUGGAUAAUAAACGAUUAUCUUGAAACAGGAAGUAUAAUUAUUAUUAUUUUCUCAUUGCCUCUAGGGCAUAUUUCCAACAGUCUGCCACUUGCACUAGAGUCCAUAAUCUAGUCUCACAUCGCUAUGUGAUUUACAUUGGAAUGAAUCUAACACCCAUACAGCUCUGUUGUUGAUCAUGCUUCGCUCGUGGAAGAGGUUUAGUCAGCGGAUCUGCAACAUUCAGAUCUGUCUGCACUUUGCAAAUAUUUACGUCCUCUCCUUCGACGUAGUCGCAGAUGAGGUUGAAGCGUCGUUUGAUGUGUCUCGUCUUCUUGUGAAACCUUGGUUCCUUUGCUAGAGCAAUGGCACCAGUGUUAUCACAUAAUAGAGUUAUUGGAUUUAGUGCACUCGGCACAACUCCAAGAUCCGUCAUGAACUGCUUCAUCCAGACACCCUCCUUAGCUGCCUCUGAGGCAGCCAUGUACUACGCUUCACAUGUAGAAUCUUCUAUGACGCUUUGCUUGGAACUGCACCAGCUUACCGCACCCCCAUUAAGAAUAAAUACGUAUCUGGUUUGAGACUUAGAGUCAUCCUGAUUAGUGUCAAAGCUUGCAUCGAAGUAACCCUUUACGACGAGCUCUUCAUCACCUCCAUAAACGAGAAACGUUUCCUUAGUCCUUUUCAGGUACUUCAGAAUAUUCUUGACCGACAUCCAGUCAUCCACUCUUGGAUUACUUUGAAACCUGUCUGCCAUACUUAUGGCCAGGCUGACGUCCGGUCUUGUGCACAGCAUUGCGUACAUGAUAGACCCUAUGGCUGAAGCAUAGGGGACGAUACUCAUCUUUUCUCUAUCUUCCGUAGUUACUCGACACUGAGUCUUACUCAACUUUAUACCUUCUAACACUGGCAAGAACCCCUUCUUGGACUGCUCCAUUUUGAACUUCUUCAAAACUUUAUCAAGGUAUGUGCUUUGUGAAAGUCCUAUUAGGCGCCUCGAUCUAUCCCUAUAGAUCUUAAUGCCUAAUAUGUAAGCAGCUUCUCCUAGGUCUUUCAUUGAAAAACAUUUGUUCAAGUAAUCCUUUACGCUCUCUAAAAACUCCACAUUGUUUCCAAUCAGCAAUAUGUCAUCCACAUAUAAUAUUAGAAACGCUACAGAGCUCCCACUCACUUUCUUGUAAAUACAAGAGUCUCCAACAACUUGUACAAACCCAAAUGCUUUGAUCACCUCAUCAAAGCGCUUAUUCCAACUCCGAGAUGCUUGCACCAGUCCAUAAAUGGAUCGCUGGAGCUUGCAUACUUUGUUAGCAUUCUUUGGAUUGACAAAACCUUUGGGUUGCAUCAUAUACAACUCUUCCUUAAGAAAACCAUUAAGGAACGCCAUUUUGACAUCCAUCUGCCAUAUUUCAUAAUCGAAAAAUGCAGCUAUUGCUAACAUGAUUCGGACGGACUUAAGCAUCGCUACCGUGAGAAUGUCUCAUCAUAGUCAACUCCUUAAACUUGUGAAAAACCCUUUGCCACAAGUAGAGCUUUAUAAACGGUCACAUUACCAUCCGCGUUCGUCUUCUUCUUAAAGAUCCAUUUGUUCUGAAUAGCCUUGCGACCUUCAGGUAAUACUUCCAAAGUCCACACUUUGUAUUCAUACAAAGAUCCUAUCUCGGACUUCAUGGCCUCUAACCAUUUGUUGGAAUCCAUGCCCACCAUUGCUUCUUCAUAAUUCGCAGGUUCAUUGUUGUCUAACAACACGAUAGAUAAGACAGGAUUCCCAUACCACUCGGGAGCAGUACGUGACUUGUCGACCUGUGAGGUCCAACAGUAACUUGAUCCGAAGCUUCAUCAUCAUCGUCAUUAGCUUCCUCCUCAAUUGGUGUUUCCUCGACAGAGAUUUCUCUUUGCCCUGUGCCACCAUCCAGAGGGAACAUAGGUUCCACAACCUCAUCAAGUUCUAUCUUCCUCCCACUCAAUUCUUUUGAGAGAAACUCCUUCUCAAGAAAAGCUCCAUUCUUGGCAACAAACACUUUGCCCUCGGAUCUGAGAUAGAAGGUGUACCCAACUGUGUCUUUUCAGUUACCUAUGAAGACACACUUUUCCGCUUUGGGUUCCAGCUUUUCAGGCUGAAGCUUUUUUACACAAGCAUCGCAUCCCCAAACUUUAAGAAACGACAACUUUGGCCUCUUGCCAUGCCAUAGCUCAUAUGGUGUCGUUUCAACGGAUUUUGAAGGUGCCCUAUUUAAAGUGAAUGCAGCUGCCUCUAAUGCAUAACCACAAAACGAUAACGGCAAACCGGUAAGAGACAUCAUAGAUCGCACCAUAUCUAACAAAGUACGAUUACGAUGUUCGGACUCACCAUUAUGUUGUGGUGUUCCACACGGUGUCAUCUGUGAAACGAUUCCACAUUGUCUUAAGUGAGCACCAAACUCGACACUCAGAUAUUCAACCCCGUGAUCAGAUCGCAGGAACUUGAUCUUUUUGUUAUGAUGAUUUUCAACUUCACUCUGGAAUUGCUUGAACUUCUCAAAGGUUUCAGACUUGUGCUUCAUCAAGUAGAUAUAUCCAUGCCUACUCAAAUCAUCAGUGAAGGUGAGAAAAUAACGAUAUCCGCCGCAUGCCUCCACACUCAUCAGACCGCACACAUCAGUAUGUAUGAUUUCCAACAAGUCACUUGCACGCUCCAUUGUUCCGAAGAACGGAGUCUUAGUCAUCUUGCCCAUGAGGCAUGGUUCGCACGUGUCAAGUGAUUCGAAAUCAAGUGACUCCAAAAGCCCAUCAGCAUGGAGUUUCUUCAUGCGCUUUACACCAAUUUGACCUAAACGGCAGUGCCACAAAAAGGUGGCGCUAUCAUUGUUAACGCUACAUCUUUUGGUCUCAAUGUUAUGUAUAUGUGUGUCAUCACAAUCAAGAUUCAAUAUGAACAAACCUCUCACAUUGGGUGCAUGACCAUAAAAGAUAUUACUCAUAAAAAUAGAACAACCAUUAUUCUCUGCCUUAAAUGAGUAACCGUCUCACAAUAAACAAGAUCCGGGUAUAAUGUUCAUGCUUAACGCGGGCACUAAAUAACAAUUAUUUAAGUUCAUAGCUAAUCCUCAUGGUAAAGGAAGUGAGACUGUGCCGACGGUGAUUGCAUCAACCUUGGAACCAUUUCCCAUGUGCAUCCUCACUUCAUCCUUCGCCGGCCUUCGUUUAUUCCGCAGUCCCUGCUUCGAGUUGCAAAUAUGAGCAACAGAACCGGUAUCAAAUACCCAUGCACUACUACGAGAGUUGGUUAGGUACACAUCAAUAACAUGUAUAUCACAUAUACCUCGUUUGGCAUUGGCCGCCUUCUUAUCAGCCAAAUACUUGGGGCAGUUGCGCUUCCAGUGACCAUCCCCUUGCAAUAAUAGCACUCUGUUUCUGGCUUAGGUGUCACGCCCAAGAUGCGACCCUAUCCUCAAUUUGACACGAGGGCCUGGUCAGGGAUAGAAGCGCAUCUCGUCGUUUCGCAAGAAUGGAUAUCGUUACAAGUACUUGUACUGAAAAGAAGAGAUAUAUAAAUAGAAUUGGCUUACACUCGCCACAAGCAAAAUCAGAGUCACAGCAGUACAAUACAUCAUCAACAUGAAGAAGAGCAGGGUCCGACUACGGAUGAAAACAAACGAGAAAAGAAGAACGACGUCCGUCCUUGCUAUCCCAGGCUGCCGGCCUGGAACCCAUCCUAGAUCGAUGAAGAAGAAGAAUAAGAAGCAACUCCAAAUGAACAAUCAACGCGCUCGCGUCAAAUAACCUUUACCUGUACCUACAACUUGUGUUGUAGUAAUCUGUGAGCCACAGGGGACUCAGCAAUCUCAUUUCCAAAGGUAUCAAGACUAGCAAAGCUUAAUGGGUGAGGUAAGGUUAAGUGGUGAGGUUGCAGCGGCGGCUAAGCAUAUAUUUGGUGGCUAACUUACGAGUACAAGAAAUAAGAGGGGGAAGAUCUACGCGUAGCGGACGUGACCACUGAUGAUCAAAUGAAUGAUCCUAAACACCUACCUACGUCAGACAUAACCCCACCGUGUCCUCGAUCGGAGAAGGAAAUCACGAAAGUGACAGUCACAGUUACGCACAUAGUUGGCAAGUUAUAAUUAAGUUAACUUCAAGUUAUCUAGAACCAGUGUUAAACAAAGUUUCCACGUUGCCACAUAACCGUGGGCACGGUUUUCCGAAAAUAUUUAACCCCGCAAGGGUGCUCCAACUAAUCCAUCACAAAUUACCACAAGCCGCAUAGAAAUCCUCGAUCACGAAGCUCACAAUCUCGUCGGACUCCUUAGUGGAAAACCUCAACUCUGAGAUUACCCAAAGCAUCACCGGAAUCCCGAUGCACAAGAUAUCUCGUCAAAGGUAAAACUAAUCCAGCAAGGCCGCCCGGCGUGUCGACGAUCCCGAUAGGAGCCGCGUAUCUCGUUCUCAGGACACGACGGAUAAGCGACGCGUAUGGUGGCCUGAUAGAAAUCACCCAAGUUUCCCUGGGUUGGCCCCGCACAGUGCUCUGUUUUGGACCAGCACCAUCAGCACUGGCCCUCCCUAUAUUAUGUAGAAUUACUCCUUGGGUAGCGCUAACUCCCUAUGCAUUUCAGUAUUAACAGAAUUAUCAUGUUGGGCAAAUGUUGUACCAAUGUUGGGCCUUGCCAGACCAGCUUUAAUCUAAAAUGAAUUAUCAAGGGGGUCCCCAUAACAACCCCAAUCGUGUUAGGAGCGCUCAAAUAUGGAACAUAACACCGAUAGGCGAAACUAAGGGGGCAAAGGUGGAACAAAACACCAGGCUAGAAAGGCCGAGCCUUCCACCUUUACCAAGUAUAUAGGUGCAUUAAUUUAAUAGCAAUUAAUAGGGUGAUAUAACAAGGAACCUAUGUUAUCACAUGGAACCAACUACACCUGCAACUAGCAACGCUAACACGGGGUUAAGCAAGCGGUAACAUAGCCAAUCAGUGGUUUGCUAGGUUGAACAGGUUGAAGGUUUUCAUGGCAUUGUUGAGAGGCUGAUAUUUAACAUGUGGUAGGCAAACACACAUAAUCGAUAGCAUCGAAAUAACUAGCAUGGCAAUGAUAGUAAUGGUAUCUGGUGAAAUGGUCAUCUUCCUGAGAUCCCGCUUGGAAGAAGAACGACUCCGUGAAGCAGACGAACCGAUGUAGUCGAUCGGGUCCUCACUUUCCGACACGCUUGCGGAACUCUAUCGAGAUGGACGAAACCGCAAACAAGCAUCAACACACGAUAUUCACCACACGAUGCACAUCACAUAUGAUGCAUGAGCAGCUGAAUACAUGCAAGUCACGGCAUGUCAAUUCACAACAACCAAAUACUACACAUUAAGUGAAGUUCAAUAUGCAACGAGUUGCAUAUUGAUGAAACUCCACAUACGAGUUAUUUAGUUCUAUCCCAAUUAGGUACACGGCAAUAUUAAAUGUGGUGACACAUGGCAAGAGGUGAAGCGUAAUUAAACUACCUAUCUAGGCAUUUUAAAUGAGGUCGGAAAUGACAUAUAGCACCUCCGAAACGACCUCACAUGUUAAUUUUACAAUUCUGUCCAGAUCUGAACUAACACAUUUAAUUAGUUGUUAAACAGCAAAACAAAUAGGUUCACGUGAUUCUACGCGUCUUUACAAGAAAUUUACACAUAGAGAACAUCUCCAACGGAUUUACGGAUCAAAAGAUACAAGCACCACAAGAUAUGAUGGCAUGAAUGCAAAAUGUGUGCAACGACAGUCACGAGCACUUCAAAACAUACAACCAGCAAGAGAAAAUGAAACUACACGAGAUUCUAAGCAAGUUUAAUAUAGGAUACGAUCAAAACGGAGCUACGGUUCAACAACUACGAGCAAAACAAGAAAUCACUACAAUCUGCCAAAAUCAGCCACAUAGCAUUUUCUACGCCCCACAACUACGAGCUACAAAAUCCCAACAUGCUCAACCAAGGCAUGAGACGAUAGAGGGAAAGAAGCACUACAACAUACAACCAACAACACCUAGCAUGGCAUCAAGGAACACUAGGAAAAGAAGUCACAAAAUGGCUUCUCACACACAAUUUCAGACUUAGUGAAAAUAACACUUCAUGAAAGUGCAGUUUCGAUCUGAAGCCAUAUUGACAGCAGCAAAACCAUAAUCUACACGACUCCAAAUGGCACGAAAAUUCACAGCAUGCUAUAGAAUCCCAAAGUCUACAACUAACUCCAUUGGACCAACCUCAAAAGAGCUACAGAUCACAAGAUAGAAGCAAGACAAGACAUCAACAAAAUAUAACAGAUCUCAGACUUACAAAUAUUUCAGCAACUCUAAAACAUCACUAUUUCCUAGCAAGUAAAGAACAACCAAAGCACACCUAAACAUGGAUUUCUAUUGCAACUAAAAAUACCAGGGGCUAGACUAAACAUCAAAGGGCAAAUCUCUAGUUGACAACUCCUUCAAACGAAGCACGGAAUAAAUCCUAUGAAAUAGACAACAGGGCAACAUAGCAAAAUAUUGCGCGAACUAACUUGCUCAAAAGCUAAAACUGUAUACACAGAAAUGUGGGGUUGCACAACAAUAAUAUCGCUGCACGUAAAUGCGAGAUAAUGUCCUAAACACGGAAAAUAAACUAGCGGCAAAUCCCUACACACACAAAAUACCAAUGACUACUCUAAAAUACAUGGCAAAGGGGUUCCUAAAACAUGGACAUUUCUACUAUGGCAUUCGAGCUAUUCGAACACACGCGAAAAAUAAAUGCGGGCACUAUCCUAUUGAGACAGCACGUAAACCUAGGCAUAUGGCACGCUAAACGGCGUCAAACAUUUAUGCAAGUUAUUAAUUCGGAUUCUACGCGCAAAACUACACAAAAACCAUAUACAACUCAUCGCGAUCCGACUUACAGAUUAAAAGAUAUGGCAUAUUAUUAUAAGUCUAUAUUCUGGAAUUUAUUAAUUCCUGAAACUACCUAAAUUAUCUAAUGGGCCGACAGUGGCGUAAUAUAGCGAAAAGGUGCACACGCGGGGGAAUGGCUCACCUUGGGCCCCAAGGAGGCAGUGGGCCGAGGGGGCUCCUGGGACGAAGGGGCGCUCGAGGAGUGGCCGAGCAGGGGAGGAGGCCACCCCCAGCUGGGCCUUGCCGGGCAGAUCGGCCCAUCGGCCAGGGCGAGCGAGGCAGCCUGGUCGGGCGGUCGCCUCCUCCCGCACGCGCAUAGGGAACCGGCGGCGGGAGCUGACCGCGGCGGCUCGUCUGUCCGGCGAAUGGGGGUGCAGGCGGCGGGGGAAACCGGCAGUAUCCGCCGGAUCCGGCCAUGGGGAAUCUGUUCCCGAUGGCGGCGGAUCGAGGCGGCGCUUGGGNAUGGGCACUGGCCGUGUCCAGCGGCUGGAGUUGCUAGGAGGCGCGGCGAGCCCGACAGGGAGCUACAGGCGGCGGGGUCUACCCCGGGCAGGCGGCGGCCGCGGCUCAGGCGCGGGGCAUCGGCGCAGGCUGGCGACGAGGGCGCCCUGGCGAGGAGUAGAGGAGCUCAGGAAGGAGGAGGGUUGGCACGGGGCGGAUCUGGGCCGUUGGAUCUUCGAUCUGACGAUCCAGAUCGCUCAGAUCGGAUCUGAGGUUUAGCUCGAGAAGGUGGUGGCUAGGGUUUUCACGAAUUUCGAGGAGAGAGGGGGUUGGCUGCCUAAAAAAUAGGAGGGGGUCUAUUUAUCACAAAUGGGGAGGCUAGGUUAACUGGAAUUUCAUUCCGGAUCCAACCGUGCGGGUCGGAAUCGGACGAUUCCGAAUGCGGGACGGACUAAGUGGCCGUGUAGAGUAGGUAUCCGAAGACGAGAGGGAAAACGGGCGGCACGGCAACGAUAUUUUAAACACCGAUAACGUCCGACGAUAGACCAAAUACGGUGCCGCUACGGUCGACCGUUCGGGUACGAGACGGACUCCGAUCGCGACGAACUUUUACACACGGCCUACCUAUAUAAAAUAAGACCGCACGUCUAAUCUCAACCCAAUCAGAGAAAGUUUUACGCACACUUUUUAAAACAAGAUAUUGACGGUGCCACGGACGCAUGCGUGUGUUGUCGGCUCAGAACGGUCAACGACGAGAACCGGCAACUAAUAACGGAUGCAAGUUUUGAAAAUUGGCGGCAACGGAGAUGUCGAUGCAAUGAAGAUGAUGUGAAUGAUGCGAUGAUGAUGCGACAAAAGAAAAUAGACACAUGACGAAAAUGGAAUGAGGGGGGAAUCUUCUGGAACGUCGGUCUCGGGCUGUCACAACUCUCCUACACUACAAGAGGAUCUCGCCCCGAGAUUCAAGAAUGAAAGGGGGAGAGGAUGAGAAAGAAUAAGAGGUAAAAACUUAGUCGCUUCUUUGACAAACGAGUGAAACCAACGAUCCUUGAAGGUAGCAAAGAGAUGAGGAAUGAUAUGAGAAAGAAGCAAGAAUUCACGGAAAAUUUCGGCAGCACUUCGGUAGGAAAAUGGGACAAAAAAUUCGAUAAGAUGGGAGAAAUAGACAAUAUUCAUAACAAACAACUAAAUAGAACAAGGGAACACCAUGAUCUUGGUAGAACAACAUAAUAGACCCAAAAGAGAAACAUCACAAUGCCUCCGGAACAAUAGAAUAGGAACUAGCUCAUACGGAAGAAGAGAAUGAAGAGAGAAUGACAACUACUAAAUCCAAUGAACUUGGCAAGCAUCCUUGCAAGAAGAAUUGGACGGAGUUGUUGGAAAAACAACAACGAAAAGAACAAGAUAGUAAUGGGCUUAUGGAAACCUUUUCAAACUAAUGAAGUGACAACCAGCCACUAACACAACCAAGGAUUGAUUGGGAGAAACAAUAUAUGAACAAUUUCUUACACCAAGAGGAUACAUUGAGAACUUGGAUUAAUGACAAGCACCAUGAUAGCAACAAUCCAUAGGAAAAGCUUUAGGUGAAAUCCAAACCAAGAUAGCUCAAUGAAGAAAUCAUGGGUUGAAAAUAUCUCAUGAUCAUAGAAUUGGUGGGUUUAAUUAUCUCAUUCUUGAAAGGAAAUCUCUUCGAGACUCCUACACUAACAAGAAUGCUAUAAUACCACCUCAAAGGAAAAGGAAGAACAAAUGCACUUGGAAAUGCAAGAGAAGAAAACUUGAGGUUCUCCAAUAAGAUUCUUGAAGAACACUUGAGAAUGAAUUGGAACCUUGAUGAACCACCAUGGAGGACCUCCGUAUACAAAUGAAUGAUGCAACGAUAUGAAGGUAGAAAAGAAUAAGAUUAUGACCUUGCCAAAAUUUAGAUGAAGCCUCACAAAGAGAUACUUAAAAGAACUUGGAACUCCGGAAAAGAAAGAUAGGCACUUGAGAAAAGAAUUGAUAUCAUGAGCCCUCCGGAAGAAGAAUUGAAAUCUCUUGGAAGAAGGAAGGACAAUAAUAAGAAUUAUGUUAUGCUCAUCCUUCAUCAAAUUAAAUUGAUGACAAGCAAUGGAUCUAGCAUACAACUUAUUCUUCUGAGAAGAUUGAGGAGAGAUAUGAGCACAAACUAGAAGAAUUGUUGCAAGAAACACCGGUGAGAAUUGAAAUGAACGAGGCAACCAUGAAUGAAUGGAGAUACAUGAGAAUGAAGAGAUCAUGAGCCACCUGAGAGAAAACUAGAACAAGGCACCAGAAUAAUUGAGAGGCGAACGAAGAGACAACAAUUGAGAAGAAUUGAGGAUGAAAGCUGAAAGCUGAGAACGAAGAAUCUUCUAAAAUGAUGGCCUUCGGAGGAUCGAGAAAUGAACAUAACAUUGAAAUGCACCGAAUAGCAACAAAGGAAUUACUCAUGAUUGGGAACAAUCCAAGAUGAUAACACAACGCUGAAAUAACGAAUAUCCAAGAGAAUAGACCAAGAUUUGAGAGAAACACUCCUUCGAAUUUGCAAGCUGAGAAUGAUGACGAGGAACAACACCAAGAAUAGCUGAGACACUCCAAAAUAAGAACAAGGAAAAAUUUAGCCAAUGACGACAAAUAAAUUUGAAGCAAUCUUGAAGAAGGAAUAAGACUUAUGAAAUUCAUACUUACGUCAUAGUUGAAAAGAACAAGAUAACUCCGGAAGGAUUACAAGACUGAGAUAAGAUCCUGGGAAAGAACAUGUGGGUUAUGGGCCCACUCAAAGAAUCACCGUUGAAAAGAUUGCUUAGAAAGAGAGAUAUUGCACCGGUACAAAUGAAAACUUGAUGAGGUUGAGCACCUCGAAAUAAAUAAAAGAAUUGAAAACACGAAACUUCCGAGAUAUCUUCAACAUACUGGAUAGAAAGAGAAGAAUGAAUAACAAGAUAGGCUGAAAAGAAUUUCCAACAUAGGAAAGCAUUUAAAGG
rnacentral:lncRNA from 1 species